CUCCCCAUAGUUUCAUUCUCACUAGCAUUCCAAAGUAGAAAUGAUAUCAUCUUGUAUAUUGAAAGCGCCUGUUCAGAAAGAAGAAUAAGAUCCUUCUUUAGGGAUAUGAAUUUAUGGUUUUUGAAACGAACGACUAAAUUUUUUGCCUUAGACCACAAUUGGCAUCAACACUGCAACUAAUAAGAUUCUGUUAUAAGACAACAAAACAUGAUUUCCACACCGUUUCCAAUUAACAUUAAGAGCACAACCACAAUCUUACGCUUAGUCAUACCUGAAACACUACCAACUCGACCACUUUGAUAUAUUCCCACUUAAGAAUAUCAGAUUGAGGGACAUCAAUCUAUACCAUCCCACCACCUCUAUGUUGUGCCUGUAGAAGUGUUAAUUUAAAUAUAUUAAAGGAAGAACACAAAAAAUAAAGUAAACCAAACAAAAGGUAGAUACACACCCUGAACCAUGAGCCUUUAAUAUCGCUGUAUAACCCUGGUAUUCUACAUGGAAUUUAAGCCACUUGCCAAUAAAGUUGUGUUAGCCUUAGUUUCCUAAGAUGCAUAUUAUAAAUAUAUAUAUAGUAAUUAAAUACAAGAAAAAUAUAAAUCUAUAAAUAAAAUGAUUAAUAUUUUAAAAUAAAAAAUACUUAUAUAUAUAUAUAUAUUAAUUUUUUGUUAAAAUAACUUCAAUAUAUGUAUUAUUAUUAUUAUUAUUUUAUCAUUUUUUGAGUUUUUUCUCAUAUUUUUAUGCAUUUUUUUCUAUCGAUAUUUUCAUCCUUGUUCACUACACAUUAGUGAGUAGGCCUCUUGCUCCAUUAGGUCUCUCUUACUCUUCUUCACAUCAUUAUCUCGUGUCCUUCUAAUAACUUUUUUCCCUCAUAACCUAGAAUAUUUAUAGAGAUAUUUCUAUCAACUUUCCUUAUCUAUAAGAAAUUUAAUUACAAUAACAUAUAAAGUUAAAAAAUAUUUUAUAUAAUAUUCAUUUUACAAAAAAGAAAAGUAUAUUCUAAAUAGGAAUUUGAUACACCUUCCCGACACUGUGAUAGGAGCCUAAAUCCAACAAUUUCCUAUUAAUAUGUUUCUUUUUCUGGCUUCUUAAAAGAUGUUGAUGAGUGCAUGGAGUCAAACAAUACUCUUUGCCAAAAAGGAGCUGUUUGCACUAACACGAAUGGUAGCUACUAUUGCGACUGUCCACCUGGUUACUACAGAGAUGAUGACAAACCUGAAUAUGAGUGUGUACGCGAUAAAGGAAAACACAAUCCAGCUCUUCUUGUUUCUUCAGGUAUAAAAUUUUCCCAGUCUCCCUCAUGUUCACCCUCUUCUUUCUCUUGAGUUUGUUGUUAAUUACGUACCUUUGUGGCUUAUACAUGCAGGAAUAGCAGUCACUCUUGUUCUUCUCAUCCUACUUGCUAUUAGCUUUUGGUUGAAUCAAAAACUUGAGAAGAGAAAGAAAAGCAAACUCAAGCAGAUGUCCUUCAAGAAGAAUGGUGGUCUUCUACUGCAACGGCAAAUCUCUUCAAGUAGUAUAGGAAGUAGCGUUGAGAAAACAAAACUCUAUACCAUAGAAGAGUUGGAGAAGGCAACAGACAAUUUCAAUGCAGGUAGAGUUCUUGGAAAGGGAGGUCAUGGUAAAGUAUACAAAGGGAUGCUAUUAGAUGGAAGCAUAGUGGCCAUUAAGAAAUCAAUUGUAGUUGAUGAAAGGCAAGUUGUUGAGUUUAUCAACGAAGUUUUCAUUCUUUCACAGAUUAACCAUAGGCACAUAGUGAAACUGUUAGGUUGCUGUUUGGAGAGUGAAGUUCCUUUACUGGUUUAUGAAUACGUCUCCAAUGAUACUCUCUCCCACAAUCUCCAUAAUGAGGACCAUGCAUCAACAUUGUGUUGGGAAGAGCGCUUGCGAAUUGCAGAUGAAAUUGCAGGAGCCCUAGCAUAUUUACAUUCAUAUGCUUCUACAGCUAUCCUUCAUAGGGAUAUCAAGUCUAGGAACAUACUGCUGGAUGAGAACUUCAGGGCUGUGGUUUCUGAUUUUGGACUUUCAAGGUCAAUUGCCCCUGAAAAAACACACUUGAGCACAUUAGUGCAGGGCACAUUUGGUUACUUGGAUCCAGAGUAUUUUCGGUCGGGUCAGUUUACAGACAAAAGUGAUGUAUACGGGUUUGGGAUGAUUCUUGCUGAACUUCUCACGGGUGAAAAAGUGAUUUGUUCUAGUAGAUCUGAAGAGAGUCUAGCAAUUCAUUUUAGAUUGGCAAUGAAACAAAAUUUCCUGUUUGAAUUCUAGACANGUGAUAGUGAACGANGUCAGAAANNNNNNNNNNNNNNNNNNNNNNNNNNNNNNNNNNNNNNNNNNNNNNNNNNNNNNNNNNNNNNNNNNNNNNNNNNNNNNNNNNNNNNNNNNNNNNNNNNNNGCAUGUUCCUUUCCUUGGCAAAUUGAGGCAGUAGAGCCCCUCACUUUCAGUUCCCAUCCCAAUCAUCUUCCCCGAUUGAAGGUCCUGUAUGAAACAAACUUGUCUGAGAAAUAUGGUGACAUAGAAUGAGUCAAAAGCAAGUUUGCUAAUGGAAAUGAGGUUGAGAUAAAACAAGGGAACACAAAGAACAUUAUGAAGGACAAAUUGGGCAGAAAAUGACACAGUGCCAAUAUGAGAAACAUGCGCAGAAGUUCCAUCAGGUAAUUUCACUAUGCGAUUGUGCACAGGCUGAAAUGAUGUAAGGAAAGAAGAAUCACAAACUAUAUGAUCACUAGCCCCACUGUUCACGUGAAAGAGCAAAUACUCUACCUGAUAGCUCCUCAUAGUUAGGAACAUUACCAACAAGAUUAGCUGAGGCCUGCUUGGUUGCAUGCAACAUCUCUAGCAUCUGGUGACCAUCACUGUGGCUGGUAGCUGCUGUUUUGAUUUUGCUUAGGAGCCCCAUCAUUUGUUGACAUUCACUUUGAGACAAUGGAAAAUUGGUCACAUCCUCCUUGCCCUCAUUUGACGUAGCAGCAUGAUUGACUUUUGAUCGUCCUUGGCCUCCUCCCAUUGUAUUCUUCCUCCUACGGCAAUAGUCAUAAGUAUGACCUUUACCACCACAGUAGGUACAUUUGAGAUGUGCCCGGCAAUUCUUUGUACUAUGAUUGGUCAUGUUGCACUUUUCACAUUUGACUUCCCUUUCUGUAGUAUUAGGAUCUUGAUCAAGUUUCCUGACCGAAAAUGCAGAGGCCUCAUUUGGUACAGCAACCUUUCCAUUGGAAGCUUCUGCUUGUUUCUCAUGACGCAAGGCCAUGGCAUAUGCUUUGUUCACAGUAGGGAGUGGAUCCAUUCCGAUUAUAUUGCUCCGGACGGUGGCGUAAUUGUCACCGAGUCCCAUCAAGAAUUUCAUGGUCUUCUGUGUCUCCAUAUAAGUCUUAACCUCAGCUGCUGUAGCACAAGUGCAAGGAGGAAAACCACAAAGUGCAUCUUUUUCAUCCCAAAGUCCCUUAAGUUUGGUGAAAAAGGACGUAACAGUACCUGUUCCUUGUGCACACUCAUGAAUAGCAUUCUCUAUGUUGAACAAUUGCACUGUGUUAGUAUGUGAAAAUCGCUCCUGUAGUUCAAGCCACAUAGUUCUUGCAUCUUUGCAGUGGAUAACACUGUUGGAGAUUUCUUUCGAUAUGGCUCCCAGCAGCCAUGUUUUGACAAGGAUGUUGCAGCGAUCCCAUUGCUGUUGUUCAUUAGGGUUGUGGGUUGGCCUGUUGAGGGUGCCAUCUACAAACCCCUUCUUAUUCUUGAUAGUGAGUGCCAUGUCCAUUGACUGAACCCAUGUUGUAUAAUUAUCUUCCAUCAAUGGUUGUGAAACGAGGACGGCGCCUGGUUGAUCCGAGUGAUGGAGGAAGAGUGGAUGAUUAGAAUUCUCCCAUGGUUCUGUGGUCCUUGAUGGGUUCGAGUGCUUGCCAUGCUCAACAAGCUUUUGCGCAUCGUCACCAGCCAUGAGGUAUUGUGUUGAUAUGGAAUUCUAGGUUCUCAAGAUCGAUUGCUCUGAUACCAUAAAGAAAAUUGAUAAUGAGAAGAAUAUUAUUUCUUGUUUUACUUUCAGUACAGGUUACAACUCUUAUACACAAUGGAUACCAAUCCGAUCCACAAUUGGAGGACUAACUAUAGUAAUGCAGAUCAAUUAAUUAUCCUAUAAUAAUACAUAAUCUUGUCAAGUGAUUCGGACUCCUAAUUAUAUGGGAUUUCAUUCCUCAAUAGAUUUGUUCUAGUAGAUCUGAAGAGAGUCUAGCAAUUCAUUUUAGAUGGGCAAUGAAACAAAAUUUCCUGUUUGAAAUUCUAGACAAGGUGAUAGUGAACGAAGGUCAGGAAAAGGAGAUUCUUGCUGUUGCUAAAAUUGCUAAGAGAUGCCUGAAGUUGAGUGGGAAGAAAAGGCCAGCCAUGAAAGAAAUAGCAGCAGAUCUCCACCAAUUGAGGAGGACCAUGAAGCAGCCAUCACUUCAGCAGACCUGCCAGGACAACUGCCCUGUAAGUGGAAGGUACUCCUUUUCUUCCGCAUCCACAAGUGCAGUUACAGAAGAGUAUGCACUUCAAGGCUAGGAGUUUCCUAGACCAUAUUCCAUGACUGCUGAACGCGUCAAUUGGAUACCGAAAGGUUUGUGAAACCAAAUUCAUGUAUGUUUCUACCGUCCACUUAUCUAAUGGCUGGAAAAUUUUAGGCUCUAUGACUUCGACUCCAUUAAUAUUACAUGUUCGAAUUUGUUGUUCUUAAUCUGUAGAUGUAGCACUUUCGCAUUUGAUUUCAAUUUCUGAACCUGUUUUCAUUUUUGGAGCAAUAGUCAGUCAGGAAAUGAACUUUUAUUUGGAUGAUUGAUCACUAAACACUAUCCCCUACAACUCAAACCUGUAUAAAAAAUUCAAGCAUGAUUAAUUAGUACAAAAUAUUUGGGCAAAGAAUGGUACUCCAGCUGAGAAUUGAUUUCCAAGAUACACAUAAUAAUCUAAAUUGACCAUCUAAUCAAUCACAUGAAACGGAAAUUUACCCAUUUAAUCCAUCUCAACAGAUUGAGUUCUUCUCUUCUCUCUAAAGUCCCCUUAAAAUGAGCUGUUCAUCUAUAAGACACUAAAGAACACUUACCAAAGUCUCAUUAGACCUUAAGGACCUCAACUUGAAAGUCUUGAGCCAAACCACUCCCCAAAGUCCAAAACCAACAACCAAUAUUUGAAAAGCAUUAAAACUCCCCAAUUUCAAGCAAAAACACUUCCUUGGGUGCUCUCAAACAGCAUGGCAGUUUGUUAUGACCAAAACACCUUUUUGGUAGAGUUUUGGUCAAACAAGGCGUUUCGAAACCUUGGCCGUGCACACAAUGCAAAACAUGCCUUGUAUUUGACUCAAGGCCCCGAAGGCUGUUUGAGUCAUGAUCAAGCAACAUACCAAAGGCACCUUGAUGUUUUAAAUCAAAUUCCUUCCUAGGUGUCCAUGAUGUUUUCAACAUUUGCCUUUUAAAGGAAAAUUUUUAACCCACUCUAAAGUGUUAAUUUGGCCAUCCCAGGUUAAAUGGCCCAGUUUUUAACCCCCCUUCAACCAGCUUACAACUUUAACUCCACAUUGAUUAGCACUAGAUGGAUUUGAACGCACCUCUUUUAUUUCUAAUUCCUGUGUCAUCUUUCUUUUGUUAUUUCGUUCAUUUAGUGGGGACUGGAAUAUUUAUAGAUCCUUGCCUUUAACCUUGCUCAUGGUGAUGACUGGUAUAUCUUAGACUUGUCUAAGAUAUAUUAACAUCCUGCCAUCAUCAUAAGCAUAUAUUAAUGUUCCAAAGUUAGCAAUGUAAUUGAAUGUUGAUGUUUUAUUGUCAGUAUAAGUCUUCUUGUUAUCGUAAAUAUAUAUACCAUCAAGAAGUGAUUUAAGCUAAAAUAAUAUAUUACUAUUUUUAUUUGUUUAAUGAGUUAAUUCCAUCUCAUAUUUAUCAAAUCAUCUGCUAAUAAAUUAUUUUCACUCUCAAUAAAUUAAUAUAUAAAAUUGAAUCUAUUCAACCAUUCAUAAAAAUAAUUCUCAUAUCCAAUAAAUUAUUUACAUAUAUUGCAACCUAAACUAAACUAUGUAUAAAUAAAUGUGUUCAAAAAAGGUAUAAUUGCCCUAUUUCCCUUGACUUAGCUAGUAGAGACAUCUUUAGGGUUUAGAGGGGUGUCAUCUCUUUGAGAUACUUUUUCAAUAAGUAACUUGAUCCGGGACCUAAACUCGGGUUUUUCAAAAACAAAUUUUUCCGAAACUUAAAGGAGUAAUUUUUUUAGGGUUUUUUUUUUCUUGUUUUUAUUUUUCCUUUUAAAAUAAAAUAAAAUAAGCAGCGACUCUAGUUUUUUAACAAAAAUAAAUUUUCACCUUAAAAAGCAAGUCUCGCCAAUGAGUGGGGGUGCACAUAAAAAAUGAAGGUCCACACCACCUUCUGUCAGUUCUUUAAACUACCACAUUAUACACCGUCUAGCUUUGAAAGACAAGCCUAAUUGUUUUAGAUAGGAUGUUCGAAAAGGGCAUCCUGGUUGCUCAAGAAAGAGUUGCUCUUAUCCAAUAUUUACCUUUAGCCCAUUUCUUGUGUAGGCCUGAGCAUCUCGUGUUCCUCCCAUUCUAGUCCAUGAUUAGGAGGAAACAUGCACCGACAAUUUGGGACCUGCAUCACUAGGAAUCCGCUUCUCCCUAACCGACAAUUGUAGAUUGUCUUUGAUAGUUGUAGGACUAUCGUCACACCCAUUAUACCCUCUAUGUUUUUUAUUUAUUUUUGUUUUUAUUUGGGUCAAUGAGUGAUCCUGAGUGUAAAAGUAUCCAGCCCUCAUCCAAGAACAUUUGGGCAACAAUGGAUGAAUACAACACACAAUAGUUAUUGGAAAGAAGACACCCAACUUGUGUUAUUAACUCAACAAAUACAAGAUGCAAAAUUGAAGUGGGUCAACACUUAGCCUUUCACUGACGACAUCCCCCUUUCUUUAUAUCUUUGAUGAAUUACAUAGGUUAGAUAGUAUCUCUGGUGCAAUCUCCAAACCAUAACUCCCCAUUUGAAAUCAACCAGUGAGGAUCUUACAGCACCCUCUGUUAAUUGUAGGAGGUGGGGCAGUUAUCUAACUUGCAUAACUGCCCAACUACAUAACAACCAACCCUUACUUUUAUGUCAUGCACCCAAAUGAUCCCUUGGUGUUGUGCCUUACUGCUUCUUGUCUGAGUCAACUGCCUACACAACUCGUGUCUCUUCUCAACAGGUGCAAUGCAUGAGAUGACCCAACUGCCUAGCAUGUGCAUGCCAAAAAACUCUGAGCAUGCUGUCAAGCUAAGUUUUUUCCAGCCUAAUCUACUGUAAUUCAAUCCUGAGGAUUCUUGUCCGGUCCAGAUCUUAGCUAAUAUUUGAAUCAUGAGAUUAAGCUAUAGAAGAAGACUCAUGACUUUGAGAUGGUUCUAUUAUCUAAAUAUUAUUCUAGAAUCAUGCUAAAGUUUUAGAGUUGAGAUAUACUACAUCCAGAUAAUGUGGCAAUUUGCUAGGAUCUGCUAUUUGAUUGGGCCCUUGAUAAUCUAAGAUUUCCAAAGGAAACUAAAUAGUUUGUCGCCUUUGGUCUCGUGGGUUUGACAUUACUGUAUUGGAAUGAAAAUGAUGGUGCACGGUGGGGAUGAUCUAAUCUGCUGGAUACUCAGAUAGAGUGGUCAUUGGUUGUACAAAUCAUCACUUCAUGUUAAAUCUUUAACAUGAAAUUUUGUAUCUUAAUCUAUGGUUAUACUUCUUGUUUGAAAAAAUAUUUUGCCUAUCAGAAAGUUUGUAGUUCUACCGUUUGUAUUGAGAUUUGCUUUCCUGCUUUCAUUAGCUGACAUAAUAAGAAUUACAGGUUAUCAUAGUGACAUUAAAAUUUGGUAUUUAGAAACACAUGUUUAGAACCAAAAUGAUGAUUUAUGAGAUUGUGAAAGAUAACGUUUUUAGAAUUACUCAUUAUCGAAUCGAAAAAGAAUUGUAAGUUGACGGUUUGAUGGUUGAACCAUCAACAUUAUUGUAAGAGGGAGGAGGGGCUGGGUCGGUGGAAAAAGGAAAAAAAGAAACAAAAAGGUUGACGUUAGGUGGAGGAAAAGUGCUGCAAAAAAAAUGAUUUUUAUGAUUUUCUUCACUUACUACCUUUUUAUUUUCAUUUUUUCUUUCUCUCACUUUUGCACAUGUCAUUUUUUUUUUUUGGCCUUUUUUGCUACAUGUUGACUAAUAAAUCCCUUUUUUUCACUCUUUCAUUUUUUUGUUCGUAUUAUUGAUUUUAAUCAUUUUUUGAAUACAUUAAACACAAAUAAAUAAAUAAAUAAUUAAUUAAUUAAUAAAAACAAAUAGAAUAUCAACAUAAAUAUAUAAUAAACAAAUAAUAUAUCUGAUAAUAUUAAAUAUUAAUUAUAAUGAUACAUUUGAUAAUUUAGGGAUUGGAUUUAAAAGUUAUGAUUUAUGGUAUGAAUUUUAAUAUUAAUUGUUAAAUAAAAUAUUUAUUUAUUUUAUAAGUUUUAUCAUAUGGUAACAUAAUAACAAUAUCUAUAUAAUAUUAUACUUAAAACUAAAUAUUUCAUAUCAAAAUUACAUUUAAUGAUGAUAGUUUUAGCUCUUUUUUUGUAUGGUUUUAACUUGGAUCAUAGUUUUAACUUUUUUAUUAAAAUUCUUAAUUUCUAUAUAAAAUAAAAAAAUAUUUUUCAUAAAAAAUUAUAUUUUUUAUAUUUUAUAUUGGUUUUUUCUUAAAACUAGAAUUAAAACUUGUCAUAAUUCAAUACUAAAUUUUAAUCUUAAUAAUGUAUGCUUGCAUAGUUCCCCUUAAUUCCCCUUAAUAAAUAUAUUACAACCUUUUUAUAAAAAAAAUUAUUUGAAUAAUUUUUUUUAAUCUCUUAGGCUAUUUAUGAAAAAAUAUAAAUAAUCUUACAAUAUUUAUAAUUUUAUUAAAUAAUUGGAAAUGAACUUUAGUUAUAAUAAAGGAUAAAAUGUUAUUUUUAUCAAUUUUUAUUAUUUUUCUCAUCAUACUAAUUGAGAGUUGAAAGUAAAAUAAAGUGAAAAGGAAAAUUAUAAAUUUAAAAAAAUAAAAAUGAGAAAAUUUUAUUUAUAAUAGAAUAAUGAGAUUGAAUUCAAUAACUUGGAAAUCUCCUUUAAUAAUAUUAUUAUAAUUAUUGGUUUAGAAAAUUAUAUAAUAUUUUAAAUAAAAAUAUUAUCCAUUUUGAACUUCUUUGACCCAUCAUUUUUCCUCAAUUAGUGAUAUAUCCUACUUUUAUAUGCUUUUAUAUACAAUUCAUACUAGUAUUAUUAUUAUUAUUAUUUUUAUAAAUAUUAGUAAAAUUUUAAAAUUUAGGUUUCUUAUUUUUUUAGCAUUUAGUUUAUAAUGAACGAAAAAAUAUCGAAACACUCUUAAGUAAAAAGAAAAUUAUUAUUAUUUUUAUUGAAAAACAACUAAUUCAAUUGGAAAGAGUUUUUUUUUUUUUUUUGUUACUUAAUAUGAAUACAAACCUCCAUUUUUUUUCAAUAUAAUCUAUAAAUUAUACUUUUUUUGUUGUCAAAUUUGUUUCAAUUAAGGUUAUUGUAAAUUGUACUUUUAACAUGCAUAUUUUUCAUAAUUAUGAAAAUAUCUAAUAUGUAUUUUAAUUACCUGAGAUUAUAACUUGACUAUUAAAUGAAAAAACUAACCGGUCACCUCAUUUUUCUCAUUCUUUUUUUGACUCUUUCAUUAUUCUCUCACCUAUUUAUUAGUGGGACUAAGUUGAAUGAUUUCCCAAUCAUUUUUCUCUAACAAAUUGAACAUGAGAGAUAAAUGGUUAAAAAUUAUUAUUGUCAAAUGUAUUUUUGAAAUAAAUAAUUUUUAAAUGCCUCAUCAGUUGUUUUCAAACUUACAUAAUAUAUAAUAAAUAUUUUUUAAAUACCUUGGAAACUUAUAUAAUAUAUAAUAAAUAUUAUUCUUUAUUUCAAACUUGCAUUAUUUCUCAUAAAUAUUAAACUAUUUUUAAACACCUCAUAAAAUAUUAGUAUUCUUUGUUUGUUCUAACUUGCAAAUUAGACAUCAUCAUUUUUUUUUCAAACUUAUAGAAUAUAUAAUAAAUAUUUUUUAAAUACCUUAACAAAUAUUUUUAAAUACAAAGAAAGUCUUGAAGCACUUUCAUAUGGAUAAAUCACAUCUAUUAAGUUCUUUGUUGAUAGUUCAUUCACUUGAAGUGAAAAAUGACCUCUUCUGUCUUAAAGAAGAUAAUGAAGAAUUACUUGGUCCAAAAGUACCAUAUUACAGUGUUAGUGGUGUAUUAGUGAAUCUUGCAAAUUAUACACGGCCAAAUAUUGCAUUGCUUGUUAAUUUACUUGUGAGAUAUAGUUCUACACCAACUCAGAGACAUUGGAAUAAAACCAAUCAUGUACUACAAUAACAUAAGUGUAUGUUAUUUUGAAGGAUCAAAAUCUUAAUUGCUUGAAUAUGUAGAUGCUGACUAUCUUUUAGACCCCCACAAAGCUCGAUCUCAAAUGAGGUAUGUAAUUAUAUAUGGUGGUACGACAAUAUUCUGGAAAUCAAUCAAGUAAAUAAUGGAAACAUGCGGACUACCCUCCUUCAGAGGUAAAGUUACCAAGUUAAUAAUGUUGCAUACAUUGCACAGAUUAAAGAAUGAUACAUUAAGGGUGAUAGAAUUAAGCAUAUAUCGCCCAAGUCUUUUACUUUCAUUAACUCCAAAGAGUGAUGAAAUUGCUAUUUGACGAAUAAGAUCAAGUGACAAUUUAGUAGAUCUAUUUACAAAGGUAUUGUCAAUUACAAUACUUAAGAAGCUCAUUCGAAUAUGCUGACUUAAAGAUCUCCAUGUUGUGCUACUAGAUAAAAUAUAAUCAUGUCAACAUGAGGAGGAGCUAAUUGAUAAAAAAUUCACUACACUGCACUUUUUUUUUUUCCUUCAUCCAGGUUUUGUCCCAUUAGGUUUUACUAGCAAGGUUUUUAAUGAGGUAGUUGUAGUAAUCUAAAAGAAUAUUGUACUCUUUUUCCUUCACUAGGGUUUUUUCUAAUAAGGUUUUAAUGAAACAAAUUUUUUUGCUCAUCCAAGAGGGAGUGUUAUAAAAUAUGAGAAUUUAUCGGAUUAUGGGAACUUGUGGAUGAUCAUCCAUAUUGAUAUAUAUCUCUUUAUAACUUCCUAUAAAAGGGAGAUACGUCUAAUGAAAAUUCAUAUCGUUCUCUUCCUAGAUUCUAUUAUGCUUUUCUUUUAAUAUCUUUAUUUAUUCUCUCAUUUUUUUUUCUCCUUAUUCUUUUAUUUUACAACAAAUAUCUAUAUUUUUAUAAUAUUUAUAAAAAAAUAUAAUUUUUUAUUUUAUUACAUUAUUAAUAUUCAUAUUUUAUUAAAAAAAUUUAUUUGUAAUUAAAAAAUUUGUUUUUAUUUUUAAUAAGACAUGUAUUUAAAAAUUUUAGUUUACAUUAAAUAAAUUGAAUUUAUAAUUUGUACAUUUGACAAAAUAAAAAAUUUAUUUUUAAAAACAACUUAUCUAAAAGGUCUUUAACUUUUUAAUUUUAAAAAUAAAUAGGGAAUCAAAAUACCUCAUAAUCGGAUCCAUUGAAAUCAUUUUUGAUUUUAUUCUCAUCAUAAUUUAAAUUAUCCAAACAUAGGAAUCAAGAAAGAAAAAAGAAAGAUGUCCAUUCUUACUCCUCAUUCUCACGUAUCAAACACACAAUAGUGCACACAUCAGUCCCAGAUUGUUUUGGGUCCCAACACGCUUGUUUUGAGUCCUACCAAUAUAUUUGAUUCCACAACUAAGUAAAGUGAACAUGGGAAUAAGGAAAAGGGAGUGAGUCCCUACCUUUUGAUUCUUAGUGAUAGAAUUAAAUUAGUAAACAUGUCCUUAAAAGUUGCGGAAUGACCUAAUAGUCUUUGGUUUUGAAAAAAUUGUGGAAAAACUAUUGGUCGACUAGGUGUUGCCUUCAAGUUUCUCUUCCCCAUGAAAAUUGCCUUUUAUCAUCAACCAUGAAAAAGGCAUUCAACAUGUUUGUGAAAGAAUAACUUCUAACUUUGUAAAUAUGAACUAUUAAAUGAAUGUAGAGGAAUUUAAAAAUAAUUAAUUUUAGGUUUUGGGGUUGUUUUUGUAAAAUUUAAUACUUAUUAGUGAAUAACUUAGGUUGACAUUAAGUUAAAUUAUACUUAAAUUAUUGACUUAAAACUUAUUAUUUAAUUUUUAUUUUAAGUAUUAAGAUUGUUUGAUAAAAUUAAUUUAAAAAUUUAUUCUAAAUCAUUAAAUUGACAUAUUAUUCUUAUAAAUUAUAAUUAGGGUAAAGGAGGUGAAUUACAAUAAGGGUUAUGAAUAAAUACAAAAGAUCAUAAAGAUAACUAGGAUAAAUAAAGGUAAAAAAGUAAAAUAAAGUUGUAUAUUUAAGAAUAAAUUAAUUGUUUUUACUUAUUACUUAAAGUUGGUUUUGACUUUAAGUCAUACCAUUAAGUUAUUUUCUAAUCAUACUUAAUUUACAUUAUUAAAUUGAUUUAUCAAACAACCACUUUGUCUUAUUCUUCACUUUUUUACUUUAGUUAAGAAAUAAAGCAACAAUUAUUAUUUUAACAUAAACUAAAUGGUAUCAUUUAUGAGAAAUGCCAUUUUCUUAAAUAGAGCUUGAAUUCUUUCUAGAAUAAAUAAAUAAAAAAUCACUCAUUUAUUUUUACCGAUGUGUUAAAUCUAGUUUUUGAAGUUGUUUUAAAAGUAAUAUAAAUCCUAAAUUAUGUCAAAAUAUCAAAUAGGAUUUUAUUUUAUUUUUGUUAAAAUGAAUGGACAAAUCUAUGUGAUAAGUGUAAGAAGAAUUGAAUAUAUCCAAAUAUAUCAUAUAAAGGGUAUAGCUAAUGAACCCUUGAAUUUUUUUAUUUUUAUUUUUUGUAGAUAUUUAGGGUCCAUUUGAUAACUGUUUUCUAGAAUAGUUUCUUGUUAUUUAGAAUAAAAAAGCAGGAAAACACGUUUGAUAACCAAAAAUCAUUUUAUACUUUUUGUUCUUAAGAAUAUAAAGUGGGGGUAUUUUUAGAGAAUAUCUUUUAAUUGUUUUUUUUUUGUUUCACUUAUUGUCUGUUGACUGUUUUAAAAAAUAAUUAUAUAAACAUGUGGAAUGAUUAAAAAUAAAACACUACAUAUAAAAAUUAUUUUUAAAACAUAUUUAAAAAUAUUAAAAAUAGGUUAAAAAUAUUUUAGAUUUUCAAACAAACUUUUGUUUUACAAAAAUCAAAAAAUAGUUUUAAAUUUUUUUUCUUAAAAACAAUUUUUUAGAACCAUUUUUGAAAAUAGUUGCCAAACAAGCCUUUGGUUUUGACUCUUUUUUUUUUUUUUUUUUUUGUUGAUAAAAGUGGCUUAAUUUAAAUGACGCUUGUAUCAUAUCACCACAUGGGAACUAUUGGAAACUCGAUUGUGGCUUAAUUUAUCAAUUUUUUUUUAUUGUUAUUUUAAAAAGAACUUUUGAAUUUCAAAAAGCCAAUUCAAACAUGCUUAGGAAGAGUGAGGAAUUAGUUAAGCUAAUUCACUGUUUUUUCCACUAGAAACUAACCAUGAUAUGAAAAAUAAAGGAAAAGGGGACAAUGAAAUGGGGUUUAAUCAUAGCUAAAUAAUCGUACACUUUGAUAGGGAUAGAAGAAAAAACAGGAGUAGAAAGAACGAUUUAAGAGAAAAGAAUGUGAUUGCGGCUAAAACUUUUGCCUUUCCACCUGUGUUUGGAGAGGAUCCAGUUGAAUAGCCAACCCAGUUGAAUGGCACAACAGCUGGGAAGCAAGGGAAGAGUGGUGGUGGCAGUAGCCCACUCCAUGCAAAUUUCAUGGGUAAUUGAGUUGUUAGGACGCUGAUUGAUGUUCUCUACUAAGAGAGAAGUCAUCAUAGGGUUCUCUUUUAAUAAAGGCUAGUGCAGUGGCACAGCACACUUAGGAUGUUGAUUGAUUAGGAAUUUAUUUGAAGAGAGUGAGAUAGUGUGUAUUGAUUUAAAAAUAAUUACUAAUUUGAUUUUUUCCGAUUUUUUCAAAAGGGUCACACUGACAAAUAAAAGAGACUCGAAGGAAUAAAAACUUUUUGGGAAACAAAGAAUUUUUUUGAAAUGGUAUUAUCUCUUUCUUAGGGGUAAAACCUUCUUAUAUUGAUAAAAAAUUAUGCAAAGAAGGUUUAAAAUUACAAUCCCAACAUUAGGUAUUUACAAUGAAGGUAUAACAAGCAAAUUCCUAAAAUCAUACAAUGAGGUCAAGUACAGAAUCUAAUAGAAAAAAAAAACUAAUAUCAUGCCAAACAAUCUCCCAAGAUACUAUAUUUGACAUCCUCCCUCAAAUUGAUGCUAGUGAAUUGAUAAACAUCAAUUUAUCAACUAAGAAUUCAUGUCAUGUUUUUGUCAGGGACCUCAUAAAGAUAUUAGCAAUUUGAAACUUUGUGGAUACAUGGAUUAGUGUGAUAGUACGAUUAGCAUAUCCAUCUCAAAUGUAGUGAUAAUCUACUUCCAUGUGUUUAAUUCGUUGAUGAAGAAUAGGAUUUGUAGUAAUUUGAAUGUCACUCAUCUUAUCAACAUAUAGAGGUGUAAGAUUUGUUGGAGGGAAAACCAAUUCAAAUAGCAAUCAACGAAGCUAGAUAAUUUUAGAACAAGCAGAUGACAUAGCUCUAUAUUUUUCUUUUGUAGAAGAUUUAGAUAUCUUCUCUUGUUUAUUGCAUUUCCAUGAAACAAGAACAUCACCAAGAUGCAUAGAAAGAUCAUUGGUGAUAAUAUCAUGUAUUGUUUAUUGCAUUUCCUAAUGAUGAUUAUAUCAUCUAUAUAAACAAGAAGAAUGGUGAUACCAAUAAUAGAACAAUGAAGAAACAUAGAAAGAUCAUUGAAACUCUUACCAAAAUCCAACUUGUUCACCAAUUGGUGAAAUUUAUCAAACUAUGAAUGCGGGGUUUGUUGCAUUUCAUUAAGAUGACAUUGUAGGCUACAUACAUGAAUUUUAGAAUAAGAUCUUACUCUAGUAGGACAACUGAUGUAGACCUCUUCUUGAAGAUUACCAUGUAGGAAAGUGUUUUUAACAUCCAUUUGGAAAAAGGGCCAUCCUUGUGAACCUACAAUGGCUAACAAAGUUUGAACAAUUGUCAUUUUAGCUAUUGGAUAAUUGAUCCCAUAUUCUUACCAAUUUCCAAGAGCAACCAUAUGAGCUUUAUAAUGAUCCAAAGGUCCAUCAGGUUUCUAUUUAAUUAUGUAAGCUCACUUGCCCCCAAUUGACCAACACUAAUUUGGAUAAGGAACAAUUUUAUAAGUAUGAUUUUUUUUUCUUUUUUUUUUUUUGUCAAAGCCUUCAAUUCUUUAUUCAUAGUCGUCUGCCAAUGUGAAUGUUUAACUUGUGAAUACGAAUUUGGAAUGUCGAUGGAGGAUAAGAUAGUCAUGAGAGACAAGCAAUCAAGAGGUUUAAUUUGUGGAGUGGAUCUUCGUAGAGGAGGUGCAACUAUCAUAUUGGUUGUCUUGGAUGAUUCAAGACUUGGAUCAAGGUAAGGAGAAGUUUCUCGAUGAGGCCUUCUAUUUCUUGACUACUAAUUUUGCUCUCCACUAAUGCACUACCCUAGAUUUAAACCUUGCAACAUUAGAAGUGACAUGGUUAAAGUCAUGAAGAUAAGAAUAUGAAGAUGGAGGAGUGUGAACAUGAGUAUUUUGAAAUAUCUAUAUCUAUAUCUAUAUAUAUAUAUAUUCAUAUUCAACAAAAAUGACAUUUCGAGAAAUGUAAGUGUUAUGAGUAAUGAGAUCAUAAUAAAGGAAACCUUUGUGAUAUUUGCAUACAUAAGAAAAACACAUAUAGUAGAGACUAUGUAGUCAAUUUAUCCUUGUCUAAUGAGGGAAGAUGAGCAUAACAAAGACAUCGAAAAACAUGUAAUUGAGUGUAGUAAGGAUGUUGGUUAUACAAACAGAAGUAUGGAGACUCAUUAUGAAGCUUAAAUGAUGAUAAACAAUUAAUUUAGUGCACAACUAUAGACAAUGCUUCUACCCAAAAUUGAGAAGGUAUUAAUGCAAUAAAACCAUUAAAUAAAUAUAAAUAUUUACUUUCAUCUUUAUUUUUAUAAUAAUUAUCUGAUAAUAAGUAUGAAAAUAAUAUAAAUUAAUUAAUAUAAUAAUUUUAAAAAUAAUAAGAUAUAUGAAUAAAAUUAAAUAUUAUAAUUUUUCUUUAAUCUUAAACAUAUAUUCAUACUUACAUAUUAUAUAUGUUUUUAAAUAAAAAUUAACUAUUAUUAAAAAUUUUAAUUAUAUAUAUUCAUUAUUUUUUAUAAUUAUUUUUAUUUUCAUAUAAUAUAUAAAUUAUUAAAUUAUAUAUUUAUGACAUCAUCGGUUUGAUCGUGGUUCAACCAUUGUCUGACCAUUGAAUCAUGAACUGAUAAUUUUUUCGGUUCAAUGACUAAUUUGGUUAUGAAAACAUUGCUUUCCUCAAACAUCAGUAUGAAUUAGAUCAAAAUUAUUUUUAUGGAUUGGAAUGGGAAGAGUCUUGCUUUUACCAAGUUUGCAACUACCACAAGUAAAGAACAUAUAUAAAGAAUCAACAAAAAAAGUAGAGUUAAAUAUUAUUUUAUAAAUUUUAAAAUUAUUAAAUAGUUCAACUUAUAUUAUUUUCAUACAAGUUAUUAAAAAAACCUAAAUGCAUGGUUAAAUAGAAAUGGAAUGAGGAGAGUUGACCUUUAGAAGGAAAAAAAAAAAAAAGGAUGGAAGACAACAUGCAUGGCAUAAUUAAAUAGUUUUGCUUGGUUAGUCAAAGACAUUAAUGUAAAAAAUGGGUUACUCUUCAAUAAAGAAUAUGAAAGAAGUUAAAAUCACAAAUAUGAGGAUUAGUUAAUCCCUUUUAACCAAUUAAUUCUUCCAAAUAUUCGUGAAAAACAUAUAGGACUACUCAUGUUGAAUAGAAAUUAAUCAAAACUCAUAUUUUGAAAUCUAAACAUGCAUCUUUAUAUUCUUGCUUUCUAUGUAUUUGAACUAGUUGCAAAUAAAUUAUUGAAGGUUUCAUACUAAACCAUCUUCAAUAAAGUAAAUGUCCUUUUGAGCCUUUGUGCACUUAGGGAUAAAGUUUCUACAACCACUCUUAAAGAUGUGUCCUUUCUAAGAAAAAUAACAAUCUAGCAAAAAAAAAAAAAAAAGAACUCUUAGAGGCUAGGGUUUCUCUAAAGAGAGAGCUUCUCUCUCUCUAGGAAUAACUUAUUAAGUAUUUAUCAAUUACAAGUUUAAAAUAUUUUUUUAUACAAUAGCAACACAUGAAAAACCAAAAAUGCCUAUUUCAAAUUUUCACUUGCAUUGUAAAUUCGUGGUUCUUGAUUCUAUUACAUUCUCAAAUUACUUUGAUUAAUUUCUCAAACCCAUUUUUCUUUGCAAAACAUUUUCUAUAAGCAAGGUAUAAAUUUGGCGCAUUAAUAUGUACUUAAUAUUUUCUAUAAGAUUUUCAGCCUCUAUGACUUUGAUUCUACAUGUUCAAAGUUGUGGUCCUUAAUAUGUACAUAUAGCACUUGCGCGUUUGAUUUUAUGGUUUAAACAAUUGUAGGACAUCAUCAAUUUCUGCAGUUGUUUUAAUUUUUAGAGCAAUAGUCAGUCAAGUAAUGAACUUUUAUUUGGAUGAUUAAGCAUUAAACACUAUCCUGUACAACUCAAAUAACCUGGGUAGAAUUCAUGCAUAAAUUGACCAACCGAUCAAUCACAUGGAAUGGAAAUUUACCCAUUUAAUCCAACUAGAGACUGUUGUUGUAGAACUUAUUAGUUUUCUACCAAGCAUUGCGUUAAUUAGAAGAGAACACCAGGAUUGUGAGAAGUGGAAAGCUGAAUGGAAUGAAACACAAAAACAGGGUAGAAUAGAGGUUUCUUGAAUCUUCUAAAAUCUUUAUUUUCUAAGAUUCAUUCUCUGUUUUUGUGAGUCGUGACUCUACGUAUAUACAUGUAUUUGAAGUUAGUUAUGUGAUUCGUCCCCAUUGCAGUCAUGCCAUUUGAUUCUGGCUCAGACAGGUGUUAUCAACAAAAUUUAUGAAACCUAAAUCACCUCACACUAAGGUAGCAUAGCUAACAUAGUAUAGUGGCUCUAGGAUCGUCCACAGGGAUGGGUUUUCAUCGUAUAGUUGACUUAAAUGAAGCAAAUAAAAUGGUGCUUUUUCUUAUGAAAAUUACCUUUUAAAGAAAAUGGAAUUGUGGUUGCAAAGAUUGAUUUUAAGUUAAGCAAAAACAAUAGGUGAAAUUAACUACAAAGAAAAGGUCUCUUGGAGCUUUAGGUCACUAGGAUCAAGUUCCAUAGGCAAAGGGGGAGAUUCCGGAUCUUCUCCUCGUGUUGGGGAAAAUAACAUAAAGGAUGGUUAUCUCCCGAACUGGUUUUAUAUUUAGUAAAGAUUUGAUCCAAAGGUUUCAUGGAAAAUGAUAGUUGCUUCCCAUUAAUGGCUUCAAAUACUAAAGACUCUCACCUUGAACCACCUUUCAAUGGCUCGUAAAUGAUAACUAAUAGACAUCCAUAAAUCUAGCAAUAAGCAUCCAUGAAAUCCGAAAGCUUACCAAGUAUUGGCCAUUCAAGGUGUUUUUAAGGGAUUUAAAGCUAAAUCUUGAAAUAAAAAUCAUUGAUGGUUAACAACUAUUGUCAUUUAAAGCAAGGAUAACUCCCACCUUUGCAUUCAGGUCCUUCACCUAACUUCCAUCACUCCAAGAAACGUGAAACCUAGCCACUCAUCCCCUGAGAAAUCAUCCUCAAAGGUUGUUUGGCUAGAAAGAAAAGUGAAGAUAAAAUGCAAAUGAAAGGCAGAGCAAAAGAUCUGUAUAUUUCUUACUACGGGAAUUUUACAAGUGUUUUAUGAAAACAUACAUCCUCAUCUCCUCUCUCUCUCCUUAUAUAUAUAUUCUACCUAAAAGAUAUAUAAAAAGAUAUAAAAGAAAAUAUCUAGGUUGGUUACAAGGAGAAACUAGGAAAUUACACAAAAUAUCUGAAGAUAAAAAUCUAAUGGAGUCGGUGCAUAGGAAGAUUUCGCAUACCAUGCAAAAUUUGGCAUGGUGUGCGAAAUCCUUUGGUGGCCUCAAGUGAUUUCACAUGCUGUGCGAAAUUUUGCAUAACCAUGCAAAAAUGCUAGUUGUUGUAUUUCUUCCUCUAGUUUUCCUCCUUACAUCUCUGAUUGGCUUGGCAAAGGGCUAUGAAGUGCUCCAAAGCUUGGAUUCUUCAUGUAUUUGAGCUUUAACUUGCAUUGCCAUGGAUUUCACCAAAUUCUCCCUCAUUCUUGGCUUGUUUGAAUGAUCAAAUAGCUACCAAAAACACCAAACCUUGCCAAAAACUUAUUAGUAACCCUUGCUAUGUUCCUUAAUGUGCCAAUUGAGUUAAAAUGUAUUAACUACUACUCAAAAGUGUUUAAAACAAUUAGUUUCAAGCUAUAAAAGAGUACUUUUUGAGUAAUAAUCACUUUCCCCAAUCGACAUAUUGCUAGUUGAUUCAUCCCCAUUGCAGUCAUGCCAUUUGAUUCUGGCUCAGAUGGGUGUUAUCAACAAAAUUUAUAAAACCUAAAUCACCUCACACUAGGGUAGCAUAGCUAAUAUAAUUAGUGGUGCUAGGAUUGUCCAUAGGGAUGGGUUUUCAUUGUAUAGUUGACUUAACUGAAGGAAAUAACAUGGUGCUUUUUCUUAUGAAAGUUAGCUUUAAAAGAAAAUGGAAUUGUGGUUGCAAAAAUUGAUUUUAAGUUAAGCAAAAACAAUAAGUGAAAUUAACUAUAAAGAAAAGGUUUCUUGGAGCUUUAGGUCACUAGGAUCGGGUUCCUUAGGAAAAUAAGGAGAUUCCAGAUCUUUUCCUCGCGUUGGGGACAAUAACAUAAAGGAUGGUUAUCUCCCGAAUCGGUUUUGUAUUUAGCAAUUAAGAUUUGAUCCAAAGGGUUUAUGAAAAAUGGUAAUUGCUUCCCAUUAAUGGCUUCAAACACUAAAGACCCUCACCUUGAACCACCUUCCAAUGGCUCGUAAAUGAUAACUAAUAGACAUCCAUGGAUCUAGCAAUAAGCAUCCAUAGAAUCCGAAAAGCUUACCAAGUAUUGGCCAUUCAAGGUGAUUCUCACCUUUAACCACCUUCCAAUGGCUCGUAAAUGAUAACUAAUAGACAUCCAUGGAUCUAGCAAUAAGCAUCCAUGGAAUCCGAAAAGCUUACCAAGUAUUGGCCAUUCAAGGUGAUUUUAAGGGAUUUAAAGCUAAACCUUGAAAUACAAACCAUUGAUGGUUAACAACUACUGUCAUUUAUAGCAAGGACAACUCCCACCUUUGCAUUCAGGUUCUUCACCUAACUUCCAUCACUCCAAAAAAAGUAAAACCUAGCCACUCAUUCCUUGAGAAAUCAUCCUCAAAGGUUGUUUGGCUAGAAAAAAAAGUGAAAACAAAAUGAUAAGGUAAGGUAGAGCAAAAACUCCGUAUAUUUCUCACUACCGGAAUUUACAAGUGUUUAAUGAAAAACAUAUAUAUCAUCCUCCCUCUGUCUCUCUCCUUAUAUAUGUAUUACCUAAAAAAUAUCUAAAAAGAUAUAAAAGAAAAUAUCUAGGCUGGUUACAAGGAGAAACUAGGAAAUUACACAAAAUAUCUGAAGAUAAAAAUCUAACGGAGUCGGUGCACAGGAAGAUUUUGCAUGGUGUGCGAAAUUCUUUAGCUACUUCUUGUGGUUUUGCAUGGUGUGUGAAAUUUCUUACAGUGUGUGAAAUUGUCUUUCACUCAGUCCUGCUCUCAAUCCUGCAGCUGCUCCUCUUCUUGAUUUCCCAUGCUAUGUGAAAUUUUUGCAUAGCCAUGCGAAAAUGUUGGUUGUUGGAUUUCUUCCUCUGGUUUUCUUUCUUGCAUCUCUGAUUGGCUUGGCAACCUAUUUCCAAGCUUGGCAAAGGGCUAUGAAGUGCUCCAAAGCUCGAAUUCUUCAUGUAUUUGAGUUUCAACUUGCAUUGCCAUGGAUUUGAGCUACUAAAAACACUAAAACUUGCCAAAAAAAUUAUUAGUAACCCUUUCUAGGUUCCUUAAUGUGUCAAUUGAGUUAAAAGCUAUUAACUACUACUCAAAAGUGUUUAAAAAAGUUAGUUUCAAGCUAUAAAAGAGUACUUUUUGAGUAGUAAUCACUCCCCCCAACUGACAUAUUGCUAGUCUCUUAGCAAUGAAGGAAAGAUAAAGAAGAAUAGACAGUAAAAUAAUUUGCAAAAUCAUGCUAAUCACUCCAAAAAAUAAUUUUCAAGUUACAUGAUGCGGGUUAUACUCUCUCAUGGAACACCAAAGAGGCAAAACCCACCCUUCAACAAGAGUCAUCAAAUCUCUUGCCUAAUCACAAUUUAUAAAGAGUAAGCAUUAUGCAAAUUUAAGCAUCAAAAGAAUUUCCACUCCCAAAGGUCCAAUCCUUAUUAUUCCACAAAAAUCUAAGUGUGAAGCUUAUUAGUUUCCGAUUAUAGUAUGUCGAACUAUUCUCUUCCCCCAACCUAGUUCUUUCUCAAAUUUUAGCAAACUGACCAACCUCCAAUAGGUUAAGAACGCACCUCUUUUAUUUCACAAUUUUUUUUCUUGUAGGAGUGCAAUGCUGAAGGUAUUGUUUUCUAAAGUGUCAAUGUAAUGGGGAUCCAUCGAUGACUCCCAACCAAUCAAGGUUUAGGGCAUCAAGCUUUAAAGAUCUUUCGACCACUAACUCCUCAAAUUUUUCCCCGGACUUUUGAGAUUGAAAUUCAAUACCCAAGCACCUACAAUAUGUUAAACUCCACCUAUUCACCCUCGUAAUGAACAUUGAGGUCGGUGACUCCCAACCAAUAAAGGUUUAGGGCACCGGGUUUUAAAGACUUUCGUCAUAUACCCCUCAGACCUUGCUCGGGUUUCAAGGCAAGUGAAACACUUUGUUGUUUAUUUUUUUUUUUUGAAGGCUCAUUGGCCUUUUAUAAGGUGUCCCAACACUAUUAAAACGAGGUCAAAUGUACCAAGUCGAAAUUUUCUUAAGUUCAGUGGGUGAGAUAGUUUUUCAUCUUAUAACCAGAACCUAAUGUGCACAGUGUGUGGUAAGAUUAAAGUGGAAUAAAUAAGGUUAAAUUCAAUAGGAGUUUCAAAACUUCAUCAACUUCAAUAAGCAUAAUACAAACUCUAAGAUUCAAGUAAAAAGGCAAGAACUCAAUUUCUCCCAUUUUAUUUUGAGAAUUCCUUAAUAACCAUGAAAAGUCAAUGAAAACUUUUAAAAUUAAGCCAAAAAGUAACUAAAUUAACAAAUUAACCUAGCAUUAUUAACAAAACUUCCUUCCUCAACUUUCCUCCCAACUAAGAUCAACAUUGCCCUCAAUGUGUCAAGAGCAAUUGAAAAUAAAGGGAGGAAGUGGUACCUCUUGAGUGAAAUGGAGUCUGAGUCGUAUAGGAGAAACCACAUGAGUCAAAAAACAAAAGGGUAAUGAGUAGAGGGAAUAGGAAAAUGUUAAGUAUAGUAAAAAAACAUGAUGUCUAUAUAUUAAUCUAAGAAAGUACAAUAUGAGAUAUGAUCAUGUAAUACAUUCAAUCCCAUAAUAUGAAGUAUCAAAACAAGGACAAAUCUCCAGUUAUAUAACAUGUAAAUACCAUAAGAUAAAGAGAUGUCCUAUGAUCAAACGGUGGGAGCCUCAAGUGGAGAUGAUGCCUUCUCUGGCAUAGCUAUGACUGUGGAAGGCUCAUCCUGAAGUGGUGGAAUCCGACCCUCUGCUGGUGUAGUGUCCUCAGUUGGAGCUAUAGACACUAAGGAUGUGGAAAGGUCAGGCUGUGGCAGAAGUAGGAGUCCUAGAUGCUGCUGAAUCUGGUGGAGAAUAGUAAUCUGUUGGUCCUGAUGGACAUGCAUCUCAGCCAUCUGUUGAAAGAGAGUAGAAUGCGUGGUGGUGAGUGUUUGAAAGGUAUGCACCAGGGCGUGAAACUCCGAAGCCAAUAUGGUAAUGGACGGCUCAGAUGUAGUUGGCGUGACUGGUGAAACAUUAGGAGUAGUAGGCGGAGCAGCAAAAGUAGCCUCAAGUGUGGGCACUGCUGGUGUGGCCUCUAUCGGGAGCUCGCCAUGCUCUGGCUGUGGAGGCACUGGUGGUGCUACCAUGGGAGGAGCUCCAAGAUGUGCAGAAUAGCCCGCCAACUAAUUCCAUUUGUCGAGAGUGAAUCACUCUCGACAAAGGCUGCAACGCUCGAGUCGAGGUUCAGUAGGAAAGCCCAAAUACUCCAAGAUUUGGCACAACAAUCUCGGGAAUAGUAGUGGAAUGGUGUCGGCCCUCUGGAGCUUCUUCCUAUGGACCUUCUCCUCAAAGUGGAUGAGAGAGGCCAUGAUCAGGUGGUGCAGGCCAAAGUAGAAGCCCUCGGAUAUACAGAACAAUGCAUCCAAAAUAGUUCAUCUCCUCUGUACUAAAUGCUAUAAUGGAAAAAGGUUGGAGCGCAGCACCACGUCCACGAGGAGCAUCCUAGGCGGAAGCUCCUUCCAUAGAAGAACCGAAUCAGUGGAGGUCCCCCUGGAUAAUAUGUGGACCAUGUCCCUCUGAGCUACGGGGGACCACUGUCGAAAAGCAGAUGGAUCCUCCGGCUCAUAAGGAAUCUGAAGAGCCUCUGCAAUAUGUCUCACCUCGAGGAAACCAGGACGUCCAUCAAUACUGAAGUGAAUCGUGGUAGGACUCUGAACUCCACGAGUAGUCAUAGAUUGGUAAAAGUCUAGUGCUACUCUGGGAUGGAAAAACUCACGAGGAGUCAUGAAGUGUUCAAGGUGGUACCUUUCGAGUAAACCGUAUGAAUCUCGGAGCUCAGGCUGCUGUCGCAUGGCCUUCUGAUCAAAAUGUAGCUCUGAGUGGAAAAGUCUGGCUCUACAAUCUGAGUUUCCCUCAAUGGGCUGUGCUAUGACCAUUGGAUGUCUAAUAAUCGACUCGAUGACAAGGUAGAAGGUAACUCAGAAUCUGCCGGAGGCUCAGAAGUUCUAGAGAGCUCCCUAGGACCUGAAGUCCUGGCCUUCUUGGCCGGAGGGCGACGCACUAAACUCUUGAGGCGCGAAGUAGUCGCCCUUAGGGUAGUGGGUGGUCUCCUCGUCUCCUACUUGCGCUGAGAAGCAUGUGAAGAAGGUCCAGUGGCCUCUCCACCUUCGGAAGGUGGAAUCCUCGGGGCCUCCGUGGCCUGAGAGGGGGAAUCACUUGGCACUUGAGCCGAGGAGGCUCUUUGCCUCUUGGUGCGUCUCUGUGAAGGGGCUCCUCGGGUCUGCACCAUGUCAAAAAUGAAAGACGAGCCUCGGGUCCAUGCGCUGAAGGGGCGCGGUAUCGACUCCUCUAAAUGAGAUGCUCGCGGGGUUCGAAAUUGAAUGGAGAGGGGUAAGGUCACAAGGUGGCAAAAAAGAUUCACAAUGACAGGAGUGCUUGGGAAAUGAGGAACUAAAGAAAUGAGGCGGUCGGGGAAGUUUAAAAAGAAAUGGGCGGGUGGCUCUUCAUUUUCGUAGGCGCCUCUUAGGUUUCACCUAGUGGGCGAAAUGACUUUAGGGGUGCGAAAUUACUUCGCACACCCCUUUGGGUUUCGCACAGUGUUUAGGUGUGCGAAUUAGGUUCGCAGGGUGUGUGAAAUUUCACACCCCAUGUGAAAUGAUUCCUUGAUUUCGCAUGUCCUGCAAAAAUUUCACAAGGUGUGCGAAUUGUUUUGCUUGUUCCUUUGUUUGAAAUCUCCUGUAAUCGAUCAUCAAAAACCUAUGUUAAAUCAAACCAAAAUAAAAUUAAAACGAGAAAUCGAAAUAAAAACAAGUAAUAAUACAGGAAAACUCUUAAAUCAGAAAUAACAUAAAAAGAUAUGGACUCGAUUAGUCUUUAGAAAGACUAAGUCCAUAAAAAAAUUGGUGUUGUCACCCUUGAUGUGGAUUAAGGAGGAUGAAUUCCUCCUUGUCGCUAGAAAACGGCUCCACAAAGGGCUUGAGACGGUGGCCAUUCACUUUGAAGCUCUUAGUGCUGUUGGAGUUGAGUAGUUCCACUACUCCAUUUGAAUGCACUUGGUGAAUAGUAAAUGGACCUAUCCACCUUGAUUUCAGCUUGCUCAGAAAGAUGUGGAUCUUAGAGUCAUAGAGCAAGACUCUUUAUCCCUUUCAAAAUUUCUUACGGGAAAUCAACUGAUCAUGUCACCUCUUCAAUUUCUCUUUUGCAAUUUUUGAAUUGAUGUAGACAUCAUUUCUCAAUUCCUCCAUCUCAUUGAGGUCUAAGAACCUCUUUAACCCAGCUCUGCUUAGAUCCAUGUUGAGUUGUUUGAUUGCCUACCAAGCUUUGUAUUUCAAUUCCACAGGGAGAUGGCAUGCUUUGCCAUAGACUAGGUGAUAAGGAGACGUCCCAAGAAUGGUCUUGUAAGCUGUUCUAUAUGCCCAUAGUGAAUCAAGGAGCUUGACUGACCAAUCUUUUCUGUUUGUGUUUACCACUUUCAUCAAUAUGUUUUUAAUCUCCAUGUUUGCUAACUCAACUUGACCAUUAGUUUGAGGGUGGUAAGGUGUAGCUACCUUAUGCUUCACCCCAUACUUGGCUAGGAGAGUUUCAAAAGGCUUGUUACAAAAAUGAGUACCUCAAUCACUAAUUAUGGCUUUGGGCACCCUAAAUUUUGAGAAGAUGUUCUCCUUGAGAAACUUGAGAACCAUUAUAUGGUCAUUGUGUUUGUAUGGGGCUGCCUCAACCCACUUAGAAACAUAAUUUACUCCUACCAAGAUGUAACAAUAGCCAAAAGACAUAGGGAAUGGUCCCAUGAAGUCAAUACCCCAAACAAAAAAAAGACCAACUAUCAAAAUGGGGUUCAAAGACAUCAUGUUCCUACGUGUCAACUUCCCAAGCCUCUGGCAUCGAUCACAACUCUUGCAUAUGGUGUGGGCAUCUUUGAAAAGUGAUGGCCAAUAGAAACCCGAUUGCAACACCCGCAUGGUUGUCUUCUGAGAAGCAAAGUAGGCCCACAUGCAUUUCCAUGGCAAUGACUGAGGAUCCCCUGUUGCUCUUCUUCAGGAAUGCACUUCCUUUUUAUUUGAUCGGCAUAGUACUUGAAUAGAAAUGGCUCUUCCUAAUAGUAAGCAUGAAUUUUUGCAAAGAAGUGCUUCUUAUCUUGUGUUUUCCACUCACUUGGAAUUUCUCCUGUGACUAGGUAGUUCGUAAUGUGAGCAUACCAAGGGGCAACUUCCACCAACAUGAGAGACUCCUUUGGAAAAUCAUCAUUAAUGGGCAUUCCAUGGGAAUUAUGUGCGAUAGCUAGCCUUGAAAGGUGGUCUACUACCACAUUCUCCACUUCUUUCUUGUCUUUGAUAUGGAGAUUGAACUCUUGAAGUAAGAGAAUCCAUCUAAUCAACCUUGCCUUAGCAUUUUGCUUAGUCAACAGAUACUUCAAAGCAGAGUGAUCAGUGAAAACCACGAUGAAAGACCCCACCAAGUAAGCACGAAACUUAUCCAAGGCAAAAACUAUAGCUAACAAUUCUUUCUCGGUCGUUAUGUAGUUUCUUUGAGCCUCAUUCAAUGUUUUGCUCACAUAUUAGAUCACAUAGGGUUUUCCAUCUUCUCUUUGCCCAAGAACAGCUUCUAUAGCAAAGUCACUGGUAUCACACAUUACCUCAAAGGGUAGUUUCCAGUUGGGAGCUCUCACUAUUGGUGCGAUUGUCAGAAAUAGCUUCAAUUCUUCAAAACUCCUUUGGAAUCUAUCAUCCCAUAUGAAUUUAGCAUCCUUGACCAAUAGUUCACAAAGAGGUCUUGCAAGUUUAGAGAAAUCCUUGAUAAACCUCCUAUAGAACCCGACAUGGCCAAGGAAUUGCCUUAUUCCUUUGACAUUUGUUGGGGAUGGCAACUUAACAAUGAGUUCAACCUUUGCUUUGUCAACUUCAAUACCUUUCUUGGAGAUGAUGUGUCCAAGGACAAUCCCUUGGUGUACCAUGAAAUGACACUUUUCCCAGUUAAGCACUAAGUCUUUUUCAAUGCAUCGGUUCAGAACAGCUUCUAAGUUGAUCAAGCAUUCAUCAAAUAUACUUCCAUAUAUGGUGAUAUCAUCCAUAAAGACUUCCAUAAUACGCUCCACCAUAUCACUGAAAAUGCUUAACAUGCAUCUUUGGAAAGUUGCGGGUGCAUUACAUAAGCCAAAAGGCAUUCUCUUGUAUGCAUAGGUUCCAAAUGGGCAUGUGAAAGUGGUCUUCAACAUCAAUUUCUAUCUAAAAGUACUCGAAGUAGCCAUCCAAAAAACAAUAGAAAGGAUGCCUAGAGACCCUCUCAAGAACCUGAUCAAUAAAGGGCAACGGGAAAUGGUCCUUCCUUGUCACCACAUUCAACCUCCUAUAAUCGAUACACACCCUCCAACCUGUAGUGAGGCGUGUAGAGACCUCUUCUCCCUUAUCAUUUUGCACCACCGUGAUCCCAGACUUCUUUGGCACAACUUGAAUGGGACUCACCCAUGGGAUAUCUGAUAUGGAGUAGAUAAUACCGGCCUGAAGUAGCUUAAGAACUUCAGCUCGCACCACCUCUUGCAUGUGAGGGUUCAACCUUCUAUGAGGUUGGCGAACUAGCUUAGCAUCGUCCUCCAUGUAAAUAUGAUGGAUGCAGAUUAAAGGGAUGAUCUCUUUCAAAUAAAAAAUUUUCCACCCUAUUGCCUUCUUAGAUCUUCUCAGGACUUCAAGUAGAUAAUCCUCCUGAUGAAUGGUAAGAGCUGAAGAUAUAACAACAGGGCACUUCUUGUAGUCUUCCAAGUAUGCAUACUUCAACUCUGUGGGUAGUGGCUUAAGAAUAAGCUUUGGUAGUUCCUCGUUAACAAGUCUUUGCUUCUCCUCCUCAUUGAAUAAGGGUAUAAUUUCUUCUCUCCUCCUCCAUGGGAGCAGGUUAGCAAGCAAAUCUGAGGGUUUAGGUAACCCUUGAUCAAAAUCCCCAAAAUUCUCAAUCAAAUCCUCCUGUAUUCUCUUAUCACAAUGCUUCUCCACUAAAGUGUCAAUCAUGCACACUUUUUCUGGGUCUUCCUCUUCUUUCGAAUGGAGAUGCUUCUUGUACAAAUGGAAGAUGUUGAGCUCCAAUGUCAUGUUGCCAAACGUGAGUUGCAUGACUCCAUUCCUAAAAUUAAUUAUUGCAUUUGAUGUAGCUAGGAAUGGUCUUCCCAAUAUGAUAUGAACAUAAUUAGUUUCUUUGACAACCGAAUCCGUAUCAAGAACAACAAAGUUCACUGGAUAGUAGAAUUUGUCAACUUGAACCCAGACAUCUUCGAUCAUCCCUCUUGGAAUCUUCACUGAUCUAUCUGCUAGAGAUAGAGUGAUGGAUGUUGGCUUCAACUCUCCAAGUCCCAAUUGUUUAUAGACAGAGUAGGGUAGCAAAUUCACACUUGCUCCCAAGUCCAACAAAGCUUUCUCCACACAAGUUCCUACAAUACUCACUGAGAUGGUAGGGCAACCCGAAUCUUUGUACUUCACCGAAGACUUGCAUUGUAUUAUGGCACUCACUUGCUCAGUCAAAAAGGCUUUCUUGUUCACAUUCAACCCUCUCUUUACAAUGCACAAGUCCUUCAAAAAUUUUGCAUAUGUCGACACUUGUUUAAUCAUGUCUAGCAAAAGAAUAUUGACCUUCACUUGCCUCAACACUUCAAAAAUUUCUAAUGCAUUAUCGGUUCCCUUUUUGCCAUGCAAAGCUUGAGAGAAAGGCGGAGGCAUGUGUUUCUUCACCGUAUCUUCCCUGAUCACUAUCCUCUCAGGUUCUUCAUCCACAUUAGAAUCACGGUCAUCUUUCUCUAUACUUUUCCCUUUUCUCUUUCCUUUCAUUUCCUCACUCUUUCCUUUUUCUGUUACACUCUCUUCAUCAUGCUUUGGCUUGGAUGUGGGUUGAUCAACCUCUUUACCACUUCUCAAGGUGAUAACUACUUUGACUUCCCUCUCCUUUGAAGAUUCUCCCUCUUGAGCCUCCACUUCAUGGAUACCCUUGGGAUUUUGAUGAGGUUGAGAAGGAAACUUUCCUUUCUCUUACACUAUAUUGAGGUUGGUAAGCCUUGAGAUUGCGUAUUGGACAUUAUCUAUCUUCUGAGACAGAUCAUUUUGCAUCACAUCCAUCCUUUUGUUCAAUGUACUCUCCAUACUGUCAAUUCUUUGAUUCAAUUAAGCAUUAAUGGACUUUUGAUCUCCCACAAAGUCUUCCACAACCUUGCUAAGGUUCACAAUAGCUUGUUCAAGAUUCAAGGCUUGCUGAGGUGCUUUAGCAAGUUGUGUGUACUAAGGCGGCUUUGGUUUCCAAGAGAAAUUUGGAUGGUUCCUCCAAUUCGAAUUGUAGGUGUUGCCAUAUGAAGCAUUGUUAUUGGGUUUGAAUUGACCAAUAACAUUGGCUUGAUCACCAAACAUCUCUCUUACUGCUGGAAUUGUAGGACACUCAUCCACUAAGUGCUCAUAAGAUUGACAAAUGGAACAAGGCAUAGCCUACACUGGUGUCUCAGAAAUGGCUUGCACUUCUUGUACCUUCUUCAUUUCUAGCUCUUCCAAUCUCCUUGCCAUAGUUGCAAAUUUUGCCUUCAUGUCAAUGUCUUCAUUCAAAACAUACAUCCCACCAUUUGUAUUAGGCUAAGACUUCAUUCUUCCCACCUCUCUAGCAUUUGGUUCAUCCCAUCCUCUUGAAACUUCAACCACAUAAUUCAAAAAGUCCAUGGCUUCCUCCAGAUUCUUACUCAUGAAGUCUCCUCCACACAUAGUUUCUAAGAGUUGCUUCAUUGAAGAAGACAUACCAUCGUAAAAAUAGCUCACUAAGAGCCAUGUGUGAAAGUCGUGGUGAGGACAAGCAUUAAUAGCUUCCAUGUACCUCUCCUAACACUCAUAGAAUUUCUCAUUCUCUUUAGUCGAGAAAUUCAAAAUUUGGCUUUUCAAACCAUUGGUCCAAUGAGUAGGGAAGAACUUCUUAGGAAACUCGACUUGCAAAUCAGUCUAAGUUCGGAUACUCCUUGGCCUUAGAUAAUUAAGCCAAAUCUUGGCCUUAUCCUUCAAAGCAAAAGGAAAUAGCUUGAGCCUCAUCAAAUCAAUUGAAGCUCCUCCUUCUUGGAAUGUAUUACAAACCUCCUCGAAUUCCUUAAUAUACGAGUAGAGAUUCUCACUUUCCAUCCCAUGGAAAGUAGGUAGGAGUGGCACAAUGUGAGGUUGGAUUACUGGCUGCUCAGUGGGAGGCACUAUACAUGAUGGUGCACUCAUAUGAGUUGGAUGUAUGCGGUCCCUCAUGGAUCAGUAUGCGUUGAAAUUAUCCUCUUGACCAUGUUGGCUAUUCUGGUCUUCAGGUGGAACAUCCAUGAUGUUUAAGCACACUUCCAACUCAGUUUCUCGAGGAGUUUCAAUCUUCACAAGUCUUCCCUCAAUAUCUCUUAUCCAAUAAGGCAUGCACAACUAGAGAUCACUGAAACAAAAACAAAGAAAACAAAAGAAAUACAAUACUAGGAAAAAGUUAAAGUUAGCUAAAAACUAAAUAAAAGAUAAGCUAAAAUAGAGACAAAGAAAAAGAAUUAGUAAAAGAAAAAUCACAAAACUUGUGAUGAAGAUCACAAGUGUUCACCAAAGGUCAUGUCAAUGUACUUUGGCACCAUCCCUGGCAACGACACCAUUUGAUUCGUCCCCAUUGCAGUCAUGCCAUUUGAUUCUGGCUCAGACGGGUGUUAUCAACAAAAUUUAUAAAACCUAAAUCUCCUCACACUAGGGUAGCAUAGCUAACAUUGUAUAGUGGCUCUAGGAUCGUCCACAGGGAUGGGUUUUCAUCGUAUAAUUCACUUAAAUGAAGGAAAUAAAAUGAUGUUUUUUCUUAUGAAAAUUAGCUUUUAAAGAAAAUGGAAUUGUGGUUGCAAAGAUUGAUUUUAAGUUAAGCAAAAACAAUAAGUGAAAUUAACUACAAAGAAAAAGUCUCUUGGAGCUUUAGGUCACUAGGAUCAAGUUCCAUAGGCAAAGGGGGAGAUUCCAGAUCUUUUCCUAGCGUUGGGGAAAAUAACAUAAAGGAUGGUUAUCUCCCGAACCGGUUUUAUAUUUAGCAAUUAAGAUUUGAUCCAAAGGUUUCAUAGAAAAUGAUAGUUACUUCCCAUUAAUGGCUUCAAACACUAAAGAUUCUCACCUUGAACCACCUUCCAAUGGCUCGUAAAUGAUAACUAAUAGACAUCCAUAGAUCUAGCAAUAAGCAUCCAUGGAAUCCGAAAAGCUUCCUAAGCAUUGGCCAUUCAAGGUGUUUUUAAGGGAUUUAAAGCUAAACCUUGAAAUAAAAACCAUUGAUGGUUAACAACUAUUGUCAUUUAAAGCAAGGAUAACUCUCACCUUUGCAUUUAGGUCCUUUACCUAACUUCCAUCACUCCAAGAAACGUGAAACCUAGCCACUCAUCCCCUAAGAAAUCAUCCUCAGAGGUUGUUUGGCUAGAAAGAAAAGUGAAGACAAAAUGAGAAGGAAAGACAGAACAAAAGCUCUGUAUAUUUCUUACUACGGGAAUUUUACAAGUGUUUUAUGAAAACAUACAUCCUCAUUUCCUCUCUCUCUCCUUAUAUAUAUAUAUGCUACCUAAAAGAUAUAUAAAAAUAUAUAAAAGAAAAUAUGUAGGUUGGUUACAAGGAGAAACUAGGAAAUUACACAAAAUAUCUGAAGAUAAAAAUCUAACGGAGUCGGUGCAUAGGAAGAUUUCGCAUUCCAUGCGAAAUUUGGCAUGGUGUGCGAAAUCCUUUGGCUGCCUCAAGCGAUUUCGCAUGGUGUGCGAAAUUUCGCAUAGCCAUGCAAAAAUGCUAGUUGUUGGAUUUCUUCCUCUGGUUUUCCUCCUUGCAUCUCUGAUUGGCUUAGCAAAGGGCUAUGAAGUGCUCCAAAGCUUGGAUUCUUCAUGUAUUUGAGCUUUAACUUGCAUUGCCAUGGAUUUCACCAAAAUUUCCCUCAUUCUUGGCUUGUUUCAAUGAUCAAAUAGCUACUAAAAACACCAAACCUUGCCAAAAACUUAUUAGUAACCCUUGCUAGGUUCCUUAAUGUGCCAAUUGAGUUAAAAGGUAUUAACUACUACUCAAAAGUGUUUAAAACAGUUAGUUUCAAGCUAUAAAAGAGUACUUUUUGAAUAGUAAUCAUUAUACCUUAUAACUAAUUAUCUAAUAAUACCAAAACUAAUCAUCUAGUUAUAGGUUAGUUACAUGUUUCUAACUAAUGUUGUUUAGUUACAACUGUGUACAUGGCUUAACAUCUUCCCUCAAACUCAAAGGUUUAGUUAGAAUAGUGAGUUUGUUUCGUAGAUUGAGAAAUUGUGGAACAAGUAAGGCUUUGGUAAGAGUAUCAGCAAUCUAGUCACAAAAUGACAAUCUAGUUCCACAUGCUUAACUCGAGAAUGAAAAAUAAGAUUGGCAGCAAGAAAGGUGGUUGAAAGAUUGUCAUAGAACAAAAUAGGAGAAAAAAAAAGAUGAGAUAGAGAGCUCCUGAAGAAGAUGUUGAAUCCAUUGAAGUUCAGAAGCAACACUUGCUAAGGCCUUAUACUCAACUUCAGUGCUGGAACAAGACACAACUUUCUGCUUACUAGAGCUUCAGGAGACUAGAUUAGAGCCAAAAAAUAUGCAAUGACCACUUGUACUUCGACGAUCAUCAGGGCAACCAGCCCAAUCAGCAUUAGCAUAAGUAGUAAGUUGAAGAUCAAGAGAAGAAUGAAAGGAAAGACCAAAGGAAGUAGUGCCCUUAAGAUAGUGCAACAAUCGUUUAACAGCUUGCCAAUGUAGAUCAGUUGGUGAUUGCAUGAAUUGGCAAAGUUUAUUGAUAGAGAAAGAGGUGUCAAGCCUUGUAAUGGUACAAUAUUGACAGGCUUCAACAAUGCUGUGAUAUUGAGAAGGGUCAGCUAAGAGGGAACCUUUAAAGGCAAAUAAAGUGUGAGAGGUAGUCAUUGGUGUAGCAAUAGGUUUACAAUCUGUAAAACCAACACGAUUGAACAAGUUCUGAAUAUAUUUGGUUUGGGAAAGAUGAAGGGAAGAUCCUUGCCAAGAUACUUCAACACCCAAGAAGUAAUUUAGAAUACCAAGGUCCUUGAUAGCAAACUGAGAGUGUAAAGAAGAAACCAUUUGGUGGACUAACACGAUAUUAGAACCAAUAACAAUAAUGUCAUCAACAUAUAUGAGAAUAAUGAUCAUGUCAGUUCCUUUCCGAAGAAGAAACAUAGAGGAAUCAGAUAAAGAAGAAGAGAAACCCCAAGCAAGUAAGGAGUUCUUUAAUUUGGUGAACCAUGCCCGAGGAGAUUGCUUUAGACCAUACAAGGCUUUGUAAAGUUUACAGAUAAAAUCGGGUUUAGAAUUAUCAACAAAGCUUGGAGAUUGAACCAUGUAAACCUCUUCUUUUAACUCACCAUUGAGAAAGACAUUAUUAACAUCUAAUUGUUUCACUAACCAAUCUUGAGAAAUAGAAAGAGAAAGAACAAUUCGUAUAGUAGUUGGUUUAACAACAGGGCAAAAGGUUUCAAAAUAAUCAAUACCAUAUGUUUGAUUAAAACCCUUUGCAACUAAGUGGGCUUUAAAAUGAUCAACUAAGCCAUCAACUUUGAGUUUCAGCUUAUAUAUCCAUUUACAACUAGUAAUGCGUUUAUUAACAGGUUUAGGAACCAAUGUCCAUGUGGAAUUGGUGAGAAGAGCAUCAUACUCAGUCUUCAUAGCAGCUUGCCAGUUAGGAUGCAACAUUGCUUCUUUGAAAGGGGAGGGUUCAACAACAGUAGUUUGGACAACAAGGCUGAAUAUUUUUUUGGGUUUAAAAAUACCAUUUUGGCUACGAGUAACAAUAGUUCGAUUUGGAAGUGAAGGAGGAUCAACAAUGGAGGUUGGAACAGAGGAUUGUGGUAAAGUAUGAAAGGAAGAUGGAUGAGAUGGAAUGAUUCAUCCCCAUUGCAGUCGUGCCAUUUGAUUUUGGCCUAGACAGGUGUUAUAAAAAAAAUUUAUAAAACCUAAAUCACCUUACACUAGGGUAAAAUACCUAACAUAGUAUAGUGGCUCUAGGAUCGUCCAUAGGGAUGGGUUUUCAUUGUACAGUUGACUUUAGUGAAGGAAAUAAAAUGGUACUUUUCCUUAUGAAAAUUAGCUUUUAAAGAAAAUGGAAUUGUGGUUGCAAAGAUUGAUUUUAAGUUAAGCAAAAAUAAUAAGUGAAGUUAACUACAAAGAAAAGGUCUCUUGGAGCUUUAGGUCACUAGGAUCGGGUUCCUUAGGCAAAAGGAGGAGAUUUCGGAUCUUCUCCUCGCAUUGGGGACAAUAAAAUAAAAUAUGGUUAUCUCCCGAACCGGUUUUGUAUUUAACAAUUAAGAUUUGAUCCAAAGGGUUCAUAAAAAAUGGUAAUUGCUUCCCAUUAAUGGCUUCAAACACUAAAGACCUUCACCUUGAACCACCUUCCAAUGGCUCAUAAAUGAUAACUAAUAGACAUCCAUGGAUCUAGCAAUAAGCAUCCAUAUAAUCUAGAAAACUUAUCAAGUAUUGGCCAUUCAAGGUGAUUCUCACCUUGAACCACCUUCCAAUGGCUCUUAAAUGAUAACUAAUGGACAUCCAUGGAUCUAGCAAUAAGCAUCCAUAGAAUCCGAAAAGCUUACCAAGUAUUGGCCAUUCAAGGUGAUUUUAAGGGAUUUAAAACUAAACCUUGAAAUAAAAACCAUUAAUGGUUAACAACUACUUUCAUUUAAAGCAAAGACAACUCUCACCUUUGCAUUCAGGUUGUUCACCUAGCUUCCAUCACUCCAAUGAAUGUAAAACCUAGCCACUCAUCCCCUAAGAAAUCAUCCUCAUAGGUUGAUUGGCUAGAAAGAAAAGUGAAAACAAAAUGAGAAGGAAAGAUAAAGCAAAAGCUCUGUAUAUUUCUUACUACAAGAAUUUACAAGUGUUUAAUGAUUUUCAUCUAUUUGUGUGUCUCUCUCCCUGUCUACAAAAGAUGUUACCCAAAAGAUAUAAAAAGAUAUAAAAGAAAAUAUCUAGGUUGAUUACAAGGAGAAAAUAGGAAAUUACACAAAAUAUCUGGAGAUAAAAAUCUAACGGAGUUGGUGCACAGGAAAAUUUCGCAUACCAUGCGAAAUUUCCCAUGGUGUGCGAAAUUAUUUGGCUGCUUCUUAUGGUUUUGCAGGGUGUGCGAAAUUUCGCACAAUGUGCGAAAUUGUCUUUCACUCAGUCCUACAACUGCUCUCCUCUAAAUUUUCGCAUAGCCAUGCGAAAAUGCUGGUUGUUGGAUUUCUUUCUUGCAUCUCUGAUUGGCUUGGCAAAGGGCUAUGAAGUGCUUCAAAGCUUGGAUUCUUCAUGUAUUUGAGCUUCAACUUGCAUUGCCAUGGAUUUCACAAAAUUCUCCCUCAUUCUUGGCUUGUUUCAAUGAUUAAAUAGCUACCAACAACACCAAAACUUGCCAAAAACUUAUUAGUAACCCUUGUUAGGUUCCUUAAUGUGCCAAUUGAGUUAAAAGGUAUUAGCUACUACUCAAAAGUGUUUAAAAUAGUUAGUUUCAAGCUAUAAAAGAGUACUUUUUAAGUAGUAAUCAUGGAACAGAAUCGAUAGGGACAGUAAGGGGAGAAGAAAAAUUAAGUGGAGGAUGAUGAGGAUUCCUUGAAGAUGGUGGAGGAAUAAAGAGAAUACUAGAAUCAAAAAGUGUUGAAGAAGAGUUGGAUGAUGAUACUGGUUGAGAGGAUAAAGACUUCGUUAAAAAUGAAAAUCGAGUUUCAUCAAAUACAACAUGGCGGGAAGCAUAUAUCCUAGAGGAAGCCAUAUCCAAAUAGAGGAAUCCCUUGUUUUUAGCACUAUGACCCAAAAAAUAGCAAACAACAGAUCUAUUUGCUAACUUGUGAGAAACAUAAGGGCGAAGAUAAGAAAAACACAAGCAUCCAAAACUUCGAAGAGAUGUAUAAUCAAGUAAACGAUUAUAAAGAACUCCAUAAGAAGAAUUUUGUGAAAGAACAACAUAGGGAAGCCGAUUUAUGAGAAAAAUGGCAGUUUGAAAUGCAAAUGACCAAUAUUUGAGAGGCAUACUAGCUUGUAUUAACAAAGAAAGACCAACUUCCACAACAUGACGAUUUUUCCUUUCAACUCUUCCAUUUUGCUGAGGAGUAUAAGGACAAGAGACUUGAUGAAGAAGACCAUUUGUAGCCAAAUAAUUCUGAAAAGCCUGAAACUCACCCCCCCCCCCCCCCAUCAGACCGAACACAUUGAAUUUUAGUAUCAAAUUGUCUUUCAACCAUGGCUUGAAAACGUUUGAACAUAAGUAAAGCUUCAUCUUUAGUUUCCAAAAGGUACAACCAUAAGAAUCUGCUAAAAUCAUCAAUUAGCAAGAGAAAAUAUUGAGCACCAUUGACAAAACUAUAGGAGUUGCACCCUAAAGAUCAACAUGGAUGAGACCAAAUGGUUUUAUUGCUCUAGAAGUGAAUCUUUCAAAUGGAAAAUGAUGGCUUUUAGACAACUAACAAGACUCACAUACAGAGUUAUUAUUGUCAUGUUUCAAAGGUAUUUUACAAAGAAAUAAAAUUUUGGAAACUACAUCAACAAAGGGAUGACCAAGUCUAUUAUGCCGGAGCCUUAAAGAACCAGCAUCUGAAGUACUACAAGUAAAGUAAAAUGCUAGUGGAUGAUCAACAACUCUUGGUGCAGUAGGAAGUUUAUAGAGACCCUUCUCAAUUUUUCCUUGAAGAAGAGCAAGUCUCGUUUUUUGAUCCUUCACCACAAAAUGAGAAGGAUGAAAUUCAAUAAAGGUGCCAUUGUCUAAGCAAAAUCGUUGGACACUAACUAAGUUGGUGGUAAUAGAGAGAACAUGUAAGACAUCAUUGAAAACGAAAGAACCACUUGAAGAGGCAAGAGAAAAUUUACCAAUAUUUGCAAUGGAUAAACCCUUAUUAUCUCCAACAAUUACUUUGUCUUCACCGGUAAAUGGAUUAUGGAUUGUUAAAUUGUUAAGAUCGGAUGUGAGAUGAUGGACAACCCCUAUAUCAAGAAACCAAGAAGUGUCUCCCAUUGUUGUAGAAGUUGCAGUCAUAGCCUGAGGAUUGUUAGAGGUGGAAUGUUUAUAAUCUUUUGGCUGAUAAUCAGAGUUAAACCGAUACUAGCAUUGUAAAGCAGUGUGUCCGAACUUAGAACAAAUCUAACAUUGAGGCUUGGAAGUUCUAUAUGAGUUACCAUUAUUAUUUAUGGUCUGUCCAGUGGUAGAAUUCUUUAGUUUAAAUUUCUUAUUGUUAUCACCAAAAAAUUGACCAUUUCUUGACAUCUGUCCAGUAUUUGGAUGAAAAUUAGAAUUGUAGGUUUUCUUCAUGUUCUUUUGUUGCUGAAACAAAGCAACAUUUUCUUGGAUCAGAGUCUGUUCUUCUAUAGAUCUUUAUCGUUCAAGACGUCUUUCAAAAACCAUGAGGUGACUUUGCAAUUCUUCAACAAAGAUUGAUUCAACUCGUGAAGUAAUGGUCACUACAAAAGGAUUGUACUUAGGUGCUAAUCCACCCAGAAUUGGCAUAAUCGGAUCUUGCUUUGACACUAGUUCUCCAACAGCAGUCAAAUUGUCACAAAUAUUACGUAUUCAUAGCAUGUAGUCAAGCAUGCUUAAGCCACCUUUGUGUAUAGUUUGAAGAUGUAGAUGAAGCUCCAUUAUAUGAGCUCGAGAAACAGAAGCGAAACUUUGUCGUAAGGAUUCCUAGAUUUCAUGAGCUGUGUUGUCACUCAUGAUCUGAGUCAUCAUUGAUUCGAUGAGUGAGAAGUAAAUCCAACUCAUCAUUAAUCGAUUUUAACGCUGCCAAGUGAUGUAUUCUGGAUUUACAACUAGAGAUUCGAAUGUUGUGGCAGAGAUCGAAUUUGUAUCAGGUAGAAAAUAUGGUAGACAUGGUUGGGUUCCAUCAAGAAUAUCAUCAAAUCCACUGGCAAUGACCACAUUAAGCAUUUGAUUGCGCCAAAUGAGGAAGUUAUUGUGAUUGAGUUUGAUCGUAAGAGAUUGACUGAGUGAUGGAAUUGAUUGAUUCGUCAUUUGAGAAGUAGUUUGUCCCGUAAUCAUACCAGAUCCAGCAGUUGGAAUCUCUCCAGAAUCUUGCAAUGGAGUCACAUUGGUUAAGUGAUUUGCCAUUGUUGAUUGCUCCGAUACCAUAUGAGAAGUGGAAAGCUGAAUGGAAUGAAACUGAAAAACAGGGUAGAACAGUGGUUACUUGAAUCUUCUGAAAUCUUUAUUUUCUGAGAUUCAUUCUCUAUUUUUGUGAGUCGUGACUUUACAUAUAUACAUGUAUUUGAAGUUAGUUAUGCCUUAUAACUAAUUAUCUAACAGUACCAGAACUAAUCAUCUAGUUACAGGUUUCUAACUAAUGCUAUUUAGUUAUAAUUGUACAUGGCUUAACAAGGAUUACCUCUAAUAAUAAUAAUAACAGACUGCUUACAAAAAUAUAGCAAGAUCAAACAUCGAUAGGAAGGACUAUGGCUAAUUCUGAUUAAAUCUAAAGUAAAGUUGGGCCGAUAUCUAUUAUGUUUCCUUUUUACACAUGUAACUAAUAUUAAUCUUAUUUAUUAUGUUUUCUUUCAAAGUUUAUACAAGCUUCAAAUAUUUGUUGGCAGUUGAAGUGACAAAAGUCAUCCAAUUAGCUAACUAUUAUGAUUAAUGGUGGAGUGAAACUUAAGUGAUCAUGCAAGAGCACGGUAGUAUAUUCACUGAAAAGAGUGCACAAUUCAUUUGUGAUCAAUCAUCUUUGCAAUGAAUCUAAUAAAGACCUCAAUCUAUGGAAAUUCGUUGUGAUUAAACUGUGAGAGAUGGGUACAUUAAUUCAUAUCGAUUUCAAUUUCAAUGCCACCAUUUCCAAGUUCCAACUGAAAACAAGUCUAUUUCAACCUUUACAAGGCUUGAUUGACAACUAGAAUUCUCUCUCAGGAGAAGCUAUAAAAUGAUAUCUCUCUAAAGAUGCAACAAUUUAGGUUAUUCUCUUCUCUCUAAGGUUUCCUUAAAAUUAUUUGUUUGUCUAAAGAAAAACUGGCAAUAAAGGUCUCAUUGGACCUUAAGGACCUCAACUUGAAAGUCUCGAGCCAACUCCUAAAGAAUUAAAAUUGGCAAUUCAAGCAGUAGCAAGGUAGUAUGUUAUGACCAGAAGCUCCUUUUUGGUAAAGCUUUAGUAGAACAAGGCAUUUCAAAACGUUGGCCAUUUUUUUUAGACCACAAAUGCAAAACAUGUACGUCAACAUGCCACGUGUGAAUCAUCUGCACCUAGAGGCCGUUUGAGUCAUGGCCAAGCAACACUACUUACAAUCCACUUUUCCUAGGUGGAAAAAAGAAGAAUGGAGUAGUGCUUUUUGAGAACGAAUAGCGAUAACCAAUCAAAGAUGACAUUUUUUAGGUCUCAUUUAUGCUCUUUUGUUGGGAUUUUCAUAAGUUGUCAACUCUUUUUAACCAUGAUUUGUCCUUACAUACUCUCCCCACUUUUUUAGUUUGAUUGGUUUUCUUUCUUGUAGUAUUUUUACGGGUUUGGAUAAGUUGGCAAAUUCAUGAUUCGAGAAAGAUGUAAGAAUUGGACGGUUGGGCACAAAUACUUGAAAUCUAGAAGGGAGACAAAUGAGAUCAAGCUUGGGUCUGUUAGAGCUUAAGUGCAUAUGAAUAAAUUUAUAACUAUGCCUAGACGUAGAGGGCUCAAAUGAUCGAUUAAAGCCUAGAAAUAAUCAUAGUUCAAUAUUGAGGGUGUGUUUGGCACACCGAAAAUAACAUCUUAUUUAUUUUCUCAUUCAUUCUUUUGUUUGAAUAACUUAAAUAAUAAUGAAAAUGAAAUUAAAGUGAUUCCAAUAGAAAUAAAAUUCCACUUUCAAUUCAUUCUACCUAGAAAGUAUUUUAAUUCUCUAGUGCAAGUUAUUUUUAAAAAUACUUUUCAAAAAGUAAAAAAACUAAAGACUUUAUAAGAUAAGUUGUUUUUAAAAAUAAUUUUUUAUUUUGAUUUUGUAAACAACACAAAUUGUAAAUUCAAUUUAUAUAAUGUAAACUAAAUUUAAUUCACAUCCUAUUAUGAUUUAAUUUUUCUUUAAUAGGAUAGUAUCUACCUAUCAGUUUUUAGACUAGAGGAGAGACACUAUCUUGCAUGUAUGAUGCCUAUAAGGGUAGGUUACCACAGUUGGUAUCAGAGGUUUGGUUAUAGGUCUUAUAGACUUGAUAUUAUGAAUUCUAUUCUAGAAAUAGGAUGAUGAUAGUUAAUAUAGUUUUUUAGUUUUCCAACUAACAUUACCAAGUUAAUGUUAGCUAGCAAGAUAAGGAGUUGAUUCAUCUUUGUGAAGUUAAUAGGGCCCAACAUUCAUACAUCUUGGGAGAAGGAAAAUUCAAGAUACAUAGACACUUUGUAACAAAUCAUACCCUUUUUAGAACUUGAAAAGAACUUAAAGCUUUUUCUAAGUUUUUUGGUGAUUUUCUUAGAAACCUUUGUGUUUCAUACAAAAUGGUAUGAAUCAUGGAACUAUUAAAGCUUGAAUAGAGGAGCAUAUAUAGUACUUAUCCUUGCAUCUCCUAUAGAGCCUUAAAGGCUAUCCGUUACAUGUUAGGAUAAAAAAGUGUCAAUUUUUGUCAAAUAGUGUCACAUUCUUAUGACACAUUGUCUUUCUUGAAAGGAUAUCCAUUGACAUACUUAAAGUGAAAGUCAUCAUGAUGUGGAGCAACCCAACGUAGCAAUCCUCAAUUAGUAGCCUUGAUCAAGGUAACCCAUCAUGGAGAUGACACCAACUAUAUGGAUGACAAAGUCAUCAUUCGAUAUAGAUCACACCUUUUUAUACAUGAUAUAAAGGAUUUGAGAAAAGAGUUUCUUGAGGAGGCUCACUAAUCUCAAUACACUAUAUGCCUAGGAGGAACAAUGAUGUAUCAUGACUUGAGAAAACACGCAUGGUGGAUGGGAAUGAAAAUGGAUAUAGCCAACUUUAUGUCUUGUUGCCUUAUAUGUCAACAUGUUAAGGCUGAGAAACAAAAACCAUUAAGAUUAUUACAGCCACUCCCAAUGUCAUAUUAGAAAUGGGAGAAUAUCACCAUGGAUUAUUUUAUGAGAUUAUCAAAUUUAUCAAUAGGUCAUGAUGCAAUCUGUAUUGUAAUGGAUUGAUUGGAGACAAAAUAUGUAAUUAUGGAAAAUAUGUGCUCUAAUAGUAAAUAUUCAAUAUGAUUUAUGCAGCAUGAGACACUCAAAUCAUUCGACUUGACCGAAAUUGAUGAUAAGGCCCUAGUCAUGAGUUUAACUUUUAUUUUAGAGACUUAUCUUAGAUUUCAAGGAAGAAAGUGGUGCAAGUUUAAUCACUUUAGAUUUUGAAAGAUCAAGAAAGGGUUAAAUGAGGAAAUAAGCGAGUCAAGACUCAUGGACUAUGAGGAAAGGCAAGACGAGGAUAUCAUGAGUUUGGGAGAUGAGUAAUGACCAUUAUAAAGUAAGAAAGAAAGCACACAAACAUAGGAAAUGAGGCAUGAAGCCAGAUUCAUCAAGUUUGCAUGAAAAUUUGGAACUCAAAAUCUGGUGGCAACAUGUACUCUAACUUUGAGGUGACAUUUGGAGAAUGUCCAAAAGUCUAUUUUAGGAAAUCUAUAUAUCAUUUCGCAUAUCUGGAAGUCAGGAAUCCAACGCUUUAAAUGGUACAUAAAUUAGAGCUGAAAUUGUGUGUGUUUGAAGAAAACUGGUUAGAAAGGAAAGUUGAGUUCGAACUUAACAAUUUGAAUUCGAAAUGGUUUUUGGCCAUUUAAAACUCAAAGGAAUGCAAGGAAAAUUUUGGCAGAGGCUAAGUUCGAAUCCUACUACCUAUUUCAAGCAAGAGACAUGCCAUUAAACUCGAAAAUAUGGAUUUUUUGCUUGGGCAGUGGGUGAGUUUGAAAUUCAUAAUGAAUUUCAAACUCACCUUGUUGAUUUUGAAUUGGUCAAAUUUUCUCCCACUUGUGAGUUUGAAAUUGAUUUGGAACUCACCCAAAUUUUGAAUUCAACCAUUGGUGAUCGAGUUUGAUCCUUGAGACAUGUCGAAACGAGUUUGAAAUACCUCUAUCCAAUUUGAAAUGCUUUAUACUCAUUUAGAACUCAUAAUUUUUGAAGUUUUUUUUUUUUUGUUGAUGACUUUUCCUUUUAAUAAGUGUUCAAUGAGAGUGUGCCACAUGUUAGGUUAUUGAUGAUACUAUAUAAAAUCUCUUAGUUCUAGGGUUCAGACAUCUUGAAUCUUUUUGGGAAUUUAACAUUUUGUUGAGAAAAAGACAAAAACUUUGGUUUGUUUUCUUUUCUUCUUUAUUGGAUAUAUUGUUUUUAGUUUCUUUUGAUUCAAGUAAUGGAUUUAUCCUAUUAUGGAUUGUGAAUGUGACAUCACCACCAUGAGAGGCUAAAAAACCAACUUUGGGCUUGAAGCAUGAAAACCUAAGGUUAUAGGAACAAUGGGUAAAUUGUUAUUACAAUACGAUUAAUUAUUGGUUGAGUUACAAUUUAUUAAUUUUGUUUUUACCCUAUCUUUGUGAGUUAGUUUAAGGAAUGAUAUAGUAGGUUAUUACCCGAUACUAGUGAUUCUUGCUAACUCUUGAUCAUUAAUUAUCCUAGUCUUCCUUAUCGUUAUUUACCCCAUAACAAAGUUAUAAGAAAUAGGAAAAGUUAAAAAGAUAAAUCUUAAACUAGUAAUUCAUCUAAUUUAUUUGAUGGUUUUAGGAAUCUAUUUUAAAAAGGAAAAAUUAGAUUCAGAUGGAAUUUUGAGUAAUAGAACUCAAGUUGAUCGCGAGCGGUCGAGGAUCCUAAAAUCAUAAGAUCACUUUACUUAAGAAACCCUUGUUCUCUCUAUUUCUAUACCUUAAGUUAGAUUGUAUGGAAAGCCCCAAACUUGAGUCAAUUUAAUUAAAAAUUAAUAUUCAUUUUAUUAUUAAUUUAGUUCUUUUACUUACUUUCACUUCAUAAAAGUUACUUCAUAAAAUUAAUCUUCGAGUAGCUUAGAACAUGUAGAAAAGCUAUGUUUAUAUUUGUUAUGGAGAUUUAGAGUUUGAAGAAGGAGACCAUAUGUUCUUACGAGUCUCACCACAAAUAGGAUUUUUUAGGUUUGCCCAAAAGGAAAAGUUAAGUCCAAUGUAUGUAAAACAAUUUGAAGUUUUAGAGAAAGUUGAAUUAGUUUCUUAUCUAGCCACCUUACCACCUAGUCCCUUAUGUAUUCACAAUUUAUUCCAUGUAUCCUUCUUAAGGAAGUGCUGAUCAAAUCCAUAACACAUCCUAAACACAAAGGAUAAAGAAUUAAGAGGAGAGUUAUUUUAUGAGCAACUUGUCUAGAUUCUAGAUCUUUAAGAAAGGGUGUAUACAUCAGUUGAUGUUUUUAGUAAUGUUCUUGUGACACAAUCAUUUUAUUAAAGAGGGUACUUGGGAGACAUAAAGUGGGAUGAGGAAAUGAUAGCCUCACUUGUUUAGGUAGAAUAAUAAGAAAUUCCAAGGAAAAAAUUUAUUAAAAGGAGAGAGAUUGUCACUACCUUAGUUUUUUAGAAUAAUAUUUUUGAAGUUUUAUUUUUUAAUCACCUUAUUACUUGCUCUUUACCAAGAAUAAAAGUGCAUUAUCUUCUUUCUAGUUAAAAUCAUGCAAUCAAGCAUGAGGUGUCGAAAAGCAUGCAACCAAGUAUGAGGUUUCAAAAGGCAUGCAACCAAGUAUGAGGUGUCAGAAAGCAUGCAACCAAGCAUAAGGUGUUGCAAUGCAUGCAACCAAAGAAUGAGGCAUUGCAAUGCAUACAACCAAGAAUGAGGUGUUGAAAUGGAUGCAAUGAAAAGGACACUAAGCCUCUUUCAUACCGUGACACUUAAUUGCAUGGUGACUCAUGGAACUCCUUUAAUGAAAGAAACUACAAGAAUUAAGCACACCAUUCUAUGUCAUCUCCAUGCAAUAAGAAAGAUGCUAGGAAUCUUGGAUUACUCCAUUCCCUGGCCCGAGAUCUUUAGAUCUAAGCAUAGUGGAAAUAUGACAUUCAAAAACCAUAAUAAAGACUAGAUCUAUAGAUUAGGUAUCAUACUUGCAAUCUAGAUUUUCCUAUAUCAAAUCAAAUCCAAAGAAGAUGUACCAUAAGCAUCAUAGAUCUUGUUGACCCCAUCUUCUACCCAAUCUCUCAUUUCAUAAAUUUUGACACAAGAGAAUGGUGGUGUUCUCUUUCUCUAGAGGGUAGCUAGACUUUUCUCUGUGAAAUCUAGAAGAUAAGAUGCAAAAGUGAAGUAUUAAACCCUUAAAGGGUUUAUAUAAUCUUCUAUGUGGGCUUAAGUAACUUGGGCCCAACUUGAGCGUAUAUAGGUCAUUUAAUUAAUCCCACUUGGGUGCUAAUUAAUUAAUCAACUCUAUUGAGCUCCAUUCAUUAAUUAGACCAAUCUAGAAAGUCUAAACAUAAGAUUUAAUGCAAAACCUUUUUUUUUACCAAAACGUCCUUAUGCUCACUUAUGAAUUACAAACCCAAAAUGUCCUUAAAUAAAUGUGCCACCAUGAACCAAGAGCUUGAAUGAGGACCAAUAGGACCCAUAGGAAAAUAUUAGCUCCCUCAUAAUCCAAUUUUGGAGUUAAUUCAGGACUCGUACUACUACAAAAAUACUAAACAAUGACGUUUAAUUUCUUAACACUUUUAAAAAACGUCAAUAAAUUAGACCAAUAAUGGCGCUUUCUAAACAAUGACACUUCCUGGAUAUUUACAUUGACACUUGAAGAAAUUUGAUUAACAUUGGCGUUUAUGUAUAUAAAAUAAUGACGCUUUUAAUAAGAUGGCGCUUGAAAUGUGUCAUUGUAAAAUAAGAACAACCUUGGCUCUUGUUACAAGUGUCAUUGUCUCCUCUGUAUGCAUAACUGGAUUCCUUGGCACUUCUUCUAAGGGUCAUUAUCUCCCAUUAUAUAUAUACUGGCCGUAAUUUCCCUCCACUAACAUCUCAUUUUCACGAACCCAUCUCAAAUCAACAAACCCUCAUUUGUAUAGGAAAACUACCUACCGACAAUUUCAUCGACUAACACAUCGGCGACCACCAAAAGCCAACUAGUGACCACCAACAACAAACUGGUGACGACCAACCAUUACUCAAAAACUUUAUUGGAAAUAUUUAGAAACCUAUCAAUGAAGCCCUAACCCAUUAUCUAUCUGAAGAAGACGGCAUGGAGCUCUGGCCAUGACAACAUCGUCGGAGGAAGAUCAUUCCACCCAAUUGGUCACUUUUUUGGGCAAAGGUGGUUCCGACAAGACCACUUCCGCCAUCUUCGCGGCUCAGGUGAUUUUCCUCUCAAUUUCUUCCAUUUUUCUCGCAUUUUGAGUUUUUGGGAUUUUUACAAGAGAAGUAACGGUUGUAUAUAUCUGAAUGGGAUUUUUUUUUGGUGUGAUUUGGAGUUGAAAACACUUUAGUUAAGCUGGUGUUGUCUACCAGCAAAUUCAGAUCCAUAACUUAAUCCAGCCACAUCUCUAGGGGAAAUUUGGGCUGGGUGUGGGGAUAUGUAAUUAUUUGAUGGAAAUUCUUUACUUAAUUAUGGGGAAAAUGCAGCCAUUUGAUGGAUUAUCUUUGUCAUUUUUAUUUUGUGACGCUGAAAUUGUUUAAGCUCCAUUUGGAUCCUGAAAAAGACCAGAGAAAAAGAGAAAGGAAAAGGGAAAUGUUGGAUACUGUUUGAGAAAGGAAUAUGUUGUUAAGUAAUUUUUCAGCAUUUUCAUUUUCUCUCCUGAAAUAUGUGAGAUCCAAGCGCAACCUUCAUGUUUUAAAUCGGUAUUCUAACGUAUCUUCUCUCCUGUGUGUGUGUUUAGCAUUAUGCCAUGACAGGGUUUAAUACAUGCUUGGUGAUACAUUCCCAAGACCCAACUGCGGAAUAUCUUCUGAACUGUAAGAUUGGAACUUUUCCCAUAAUCUGCAACAACAACCUUUCGGUUGUUAGGUUGGAAACCACUAAAGUGUGUUUUUUCCUUCUUUUUAUUUUGCUUAUGCUCUAUCUUGACUUGAACUGAAGUAGUUAGCUCAAGAAGAUCUAUUCUUGAUCAUGCAGAUGCUUCUUGAACCACUACAUCUACUGAAGAAAGCAAAUGCAGAACUUAAUAUCACCCAAGGGGUUCUCGAAGGAGUGGGUAUGUAAUAAAUACAUAGGUCUCUUGAUCUUAAUUAUCUGGUUGAAUUUCAUCUAUAAGGGAUAGUGGACUGAGUAUUUCACUUUCAUCUGUGAAGGAAUUUCUUAUGCAUUUGUCUUAAUUAUGUAGUAGGUGGUGGGAGAAGAGCUUGGAGUGCUUCCUGGGAUGGAUUCUGUGUUUACAUUGCUUGCACUUGAGAGGCUGGUGGGAUUCUUAGGGAAUUUGGGUCGAAGAAAUCUCUGAAAAGAUAAAUAUGACAUAAUCAUAUAUGAUGGUAUUAACAUUGAGGAAACCCUAUGCAUGAUAGGUGUAACCAGUAGAGCAAGGUUGGGGAACUGUCUCUUUUUCUCUUUCUCUCACUCGGUGAUUUUUAUGAAAUCGCAUGACUCUACACAGAUUGUACUUGAAAUAUCUGCGCAACAUGGCUGAGAGAACUGAUAUUGGAAGGUUGGUUGGCCCUUCACUCUUGAGGCUUGUCAAUGAGGCCAUGAGUUUAAGCACCAGGGGAUCCAAUCUCAAUGGGAAAAUGAGUUCCGAAAUAUGGGACAUACUAGAGCGUGCUCUUGAGGUGUGACUCCCAUUUAUUUUAUAAUUUUACUGGGGUUAAUGUAGCUCAAAUUAGAUUUUGCAAUGGUUAUAUGCUUUGCAGAGAGGAUCUUCUGCUUUUGGAGAACCACGUGAGUUUGGCUACUACCUUGUGGUGGACCCAAACAAUCCAACAUCAGUGAUCUCUGCAUUAUGAUACUGGGGUUGUACAAUUCAAGCUGGUGCACAGGUUUCUGGUGCAUUUGGCACGGCUUCUCCAUAUUCUGAUGUUGAAUAAGAGGAAAUAGUCAAGAACUUUUCACCCUUGCCUUUUGCUUUGUGCCCACAUGUCCCAAUGGGUUCCCUACCUAAUUGGAAUGAAAUCAUAUCAAGCAAUCCCAGUGAAGACGCACAAGAUCUUCUUUCUGCACCAGCAAGUAGCAGCAAUAGCAAUGUUAUGGAGCCAGUUAAGUUUGAUCCAUCCAAGAAAUCAGUCAGCCUUCUCAUGCCAGGUUUUGACAAGUCAGAUCAAACUAUACCAAGUCUAUAUCUUUCCAUGUUUUCGCCUAUCAAGCUAUAGAAAUUUGAUGCCAUUUUGAGGAUGAUUAAUUAUUCUUCAACAUUAUUGAAAUUGCAAUAUAGGGGAGGAUCUGAAUUGCUGGUGGAAGCAGGGGACCAGAGACGUGUCAUUCGUCUGCCACCAGAAAUUCAAGGAAAGGUCGGAGGUGCCAAAUUUGCAAACAGAAAACUUGUCAUCACAAUGCAAUAGUUUAAUUUCAAAUUUUUUUUCUCUUGCUAUAAAGGUCAAAGCAAGUAAGCACUGCAAAUUAUUGUUAAUUGAUAGUAUGGUUACCAUAGGAAUUCAAGAAGCUACAGAAAGACCCUAUUAUUCAUGGCUAAUACCUACGUAUCCUGCAAAUUGCUCACACUAAGAUUUGAGUCAUCCUUUAAUCUAACUAGGUUCAAGAUGAUAAAUGUAGGGGAAAAUUAUCAGAUAUUGAUAUGUCAAAACACCUGAUUUCAUAUAGAGAAAGGAAAGGUAAUGAGAGGUCAAAGAAGGGUAGAGUUGGAGGGAUUCUAAAAAAAGAUUGUUACUGGUAGAAUACUUUUAACCACAUUGUGAGAGGGGUCAAAGUUGCAUACAAUCUUUUGACUUUAAAUAGGACGAAUGCAAUUUAUAAGUUUGAAUUUGAUAAAUUUUCAUCCAUUGUUUUUUUUUCUUCACUACACUGAUAAUUCUAACCUACAUAGAUUUUCAGUCAUUCCUUAUUGUUUGUUCUUUUUAUCCCUGUUUCUUUCUCUUUUUUUUUUUUAAUCCAAAAUUUAAUUUUGGAGGGUUUGUUUUUUAUUUUAUUUAUUUAAUUAUAUAGGAAAUCAUUAUUUUAAUAACAGAAUACAAAUAUUAUUUUUAAUAAGAAAUGUUUAAAAAUGGCGUUUCUAUUAAGUGUCAUUGUUAACAUGAAUCAAAGAUGACACUUUUGAAAGUGUCAUUGAUAAAAUAUAUUAAUGAUGACACUCUUAUAAAGUGUUAAGAUAAUCAAUUUUAUAAAAAAUAUUUCUCUAGAAAAUGUUCACAGAUGACGGGUUUUACAAGGGUCAUUGUUAAUGUUAUUCAAAGAUGACACUUUUUUAAAUGUCAUUAAAGGUAUUCAUCAAAGAUGGCACUUCCUAAAAGCGUCAUUGUUGGUUAAAACAUACAAUGACGGGCCAGAAGAUGACGGUUUAGAGAAGCGUCAUCUUUUACAUUUCUUGACACGUAAAAAGCAUCAUUGUAUCUCAUUUUUCUUGUAGUGUCCAUUAAAGAAAGUCAACUACACUUCAAUAUCUUAAGAUAUUAUAAUAAGGCAAGGGUCAAAUUUGUGACUUAUUAUCCACUGCAUGCAAACUCCCUAUGAACCGGUACCCAUAAUCUAAUGAGGUAUGUACUAUCGACCUCUCAUGAUUACCUCUCCAACCCAUGAGUUACAAAUCCUCCUAUUAUGUGAUCACCUGAUAUGCUUUAACUCACGAAAAGCUCUCAAAUUCCACUUAAGGAGUUACUAUAACCAUAGUUUUCCUAAUCACAUGUCCUUAGGUUCACCCAAGGGGAUACAUCGUCUCAAUCCCAUGAGAUAUCAUGGUUACUCUACUAAGAAUAUCUAUUACCAACAGCUUCCAUCAAUAGUGAUCUAGUCCGUAGGGAAAAUAUGACCACCUUAAUGUCUAACCUAUAAGUUAAAGCCUCUUGUUGUCUUGAACACAAGCUCAAUAUCCACUUAAGAUUGAAAGCCCAUGUAUUAUAGUAGCUUGGUGAAUUACGAAUACUCGAUAGUUAAUGUCAUGAUUCACUAUAGGUCUUGUCCAAUGUGUAACUAUACACAAUGGUGCACUCACCACGGGAGAACCAUCUCGAUGACCAAGACAAGUCAUCCUUCCAUUUAGCAAGCAGUGUACUACAGUCUUUGUUGGAUUGCCUAAAUCCAUGAAUCAAUUGUGAACAACUUAUCAUCUUGUAAGGAACCAUGACUUGUGUUUUCUAUGUAACUCCUAAUACAACCAAGUCAUGUUCAAUGUAAGUGAUAAGGGUGUGAAUGCUUAGAAAACCAAUUAAUGCAAAUAGGAUAAUGAAGGGAACCUAAAUCAUAAAUAAAUAAAUUUAUUAAUAGAUCUAAAAUCUAUUACAUCAUAUCAUGCUUUCCAAGGCUCUAUACUAACAAAAGAUACUAAUCAUUUCCCUUUAAUUGACACCUAUAAGCCAUGCAAUAAGUCACCAAUAAACCCACUUACUUUUGGUUCCUUCUUACCCUUAUAAAUAAGAUUAUCACCAAACAAGAAAGGAGAAAAUAGAGUAUGAAGAAACUCUUAUAGUGUUAGUAUUUCAAAGUUGGAUCUUUAAAUCAUCAUAAUGGAAGUGCUACUACAAUUCAAGUUUAGAGUUCUUAUUGUGAGUGAUCCUACAAUACAUGAUUCUACUUGGUUUUAGAAUUACAUAUCUCAUGCUUAUAAUGCUAUAUGUAUGCAUUCUUUUCCAAUAUCAUGAGAUAUGCUUAAAAAAUGUGUUUGUCAAAUGUUAUAUUUAUAAUGAAUAGGUUCUCCAUAUAUCCUUGAUAUAUAUGUAUAUUAAUAGUUAAGAUGGUUUGGUGAUCAAGAAGGGAUGAGUACAAUUUAGGGAAGCUUUUCUUGAGGAGAUUAGGUUUUAGUUGUUCUAUAUAAUUAUUAGUGAAUGAGUAACUAAUUUAAGUAUAGAUAGGUACAAGUGAGGCAAGACAUUUGAAUAAUUAGAAACUUGAUAUGCCAUUGUUAGAGGAAAGCAUUAAAACUAUAAGGAACAAUCAAUAGUGAUCAUUAUGGAUUUCAUUAUGCAUUUUUAAUAGUUCUAUCUAUGUUAAUACAUAAGUAGUGUAUUAAAGUGCCCAAUGUUUUGAUUUUAGGUGACCAUGGUGCAUAACAUUAAGCAUAUACAACUAGGAGUUCAUGGUUAUCAAUUCCUUCAAUUUAAAAAUAUACCCACAUUCACAAAAAAAAGUAAGUUAUCUCUUUUUGUUUAUUACAAUAGAUAAUUGUUAUAUUGUUUAGUGUGACUUGACUUGGUUAUAGGAGUCGUUAAGCUCAUAAGUUAUGCAUUCACAAUUAUUGCAUAGAACUUUGAGCUGCAUUUUUGCAUGAAUUUUUCUCAUCUCAUAAUAAGCACAAUCAAAAGAGAAAUUUCAAUCUCAAUAGGAAAAGAUGGAUUUUUUUUUUUUUUCAUUUGCUAAGAUCCUUUCAAGGAAGCAAUUAGUGCAUGCCCGCAUCAUGAAUUUGGAGAUAUGGAUUCCUCAUAACCAUUCUAAUUAGAUGUGUAUUUUUCUAGAAAAAUAGCAAGUAAUAAAAAAAAAAACUUUAGAAGGCUAGAGAGUGAGUUUCUUUAAAUUAUUAUUACUUUCUUCCUUUUUAAAAAGAAAAAGUAUUUUCCCACCAAACCUUUUUAUAUAGUAUAAGAAAGAUUAUCAUUCUAAAAUGUCUUUUAUAAGAAUUUUAGAAUAUUCACAUAACAUUAUUUUGUAAAUGUCUUAACAUGACUUUUAAUAAAAUCUAAUACUUAAUUUAUUCUUAAGUGGGAAUAAUUUAUUAGAUAUUUAUAAAUUAUAAGUUCUAAAACUUUCUUUUUAUAAUAAGUCAACAAUUGAGUUAAGCUCUCGCAUAACUUUAAAAUCAACAACAUCCUCCCUUAACUCACAUAUGACACAAAGUUGAAUCUCUAAUUUUAUUGAUUGAUUUCUCCUUUUGGAUUUCAAUUCCUUUAGGCUAUGUUUGGUUGGCGGGAAAGGAUAUGAUUGAAUAUGUAUAUCCUAAAAUAUCAUAUCCCAUUGGAUAGGAUAUGAAUAUCUUAGGAUAUGAUUUCCAAUGGAAUAUGACAUCCUUGGAAAUACAUAUCCUACAAAUAUGAUAUUUUAAGGUAGUAUAUCUAAUGGGAUAUGCAAUAUUAUAUUAUAUUUAUAUUUAAUUUGUAAAAUGAAUAAAAAUUGGUAUGAAAUAUAUAUUAUUUUCAAUGUUUAAAAUGAAAAUUAUGUGACAUUCAAAUAUUUUCUAUUUAAAAAAAAUGAAAAUUUUGUUAUGUUUAAUAAUAUUCAUCAUUAAAAUAUUUGAACUUUACAAAUAAAUUUUUUUAUAUCAUGUUAUUUAAUAUAUAAAAAUAAUUUAUAUAUCAUAUAUUAAUAUUCUUUUAUAAAUAUUCUUUUAGUUUUUCUUUUUUAAUCAUAAACUUAAUUUAUAAUAAAAAAAAUUAUUUUGUAAAAUGAGUAUAUUAAAAAAUAAAAAUUUGAUAAAAAAUAAAAUUUUGAUAUAUGAGAUAUGUAUAUCUCAUAUCUUAUCGUCGAAUUAACAUAUCCCAUGUGAAAGCAUAGAAAAAAAAAAGUGAAUAAUAUAUCUCACUACUUAUCAUAUCCUAUAUAUGGUUGAAUAUAGGAUAGGAGAAGUGAUGGGAUAACUUAUCUUAUUCCAUCACCAACCAAACAUGGGAUAAGAUAUAAUAUCCCCUUUCUUAUUCUAUCUCAUGCUAUAUCUAGCCAACCAAACAUGUCCUUAAUCUUUUGCUAAGGAUUGGACUUCUAAACCUUGAUUAACGUUGUACAUCCCUUCUUGCAAUUGAGUUUGGUUCUUCUCUUAUUCAUUCCUUUGCAUUGGGUCAUCUUAACUUUUUGACACAUCAACAACAUAUUCAAGGAAUUGAAUAGCUUCUACAAGGUUUUUGCUCAUAAAAUCUCUUGCACACAAGGAUUCAUCCAACUGCUUCAUCUAAAGUAAUAUACCCUCAUAGAAAUAUGAAACAAGCAUCAAGUUGUCAAAUCCAUGAUGGGGACAUGCACUAAUUGCUUCCUUGAACAGAUCUUAGAAAAUGCAAAACUUUUCUUCAUCAUUUCGUAUGAAGUUUGAAAUCUCUCUUUCGAUUGUGCUUGUUUUGUGGGCUGAGAAAAAUUCAUGCAAAAAUGCAGCUUGAAGUUCUAUGCAGUAAUUGUGAAAGCAUAACUUAUGAGAUCAACAACACCUAUAACCAAGUCAAGUCACACUAAACAAUAUAACAAUGUUAUCGAGUUCUAUUAUUCUUCAAAUAUCUUGUCUCACUUAUGCCUAUCUGUACUUAAAUUGAUCACUCAUUCACUAACAAUUAUCUAGAACAGUAGUCAUUGUUAUCCUUUGAAUUCUAAACCAUAAAGAAAUCACACGUUUAUCGUCUAUUGAUUAGAAAAUGUGAAGAUCUUAUCUCUGCCAUGUGAAAGUAAAGGAGUCUCUUUUUUCACUUUCAAUAAAGAUGUAUCAUUGCAGACAAACUCCUUUUUUAAAACCAAACGGGUCACCAAGUUCUUGCUGGAUUGGGAAUUUUCCCUGAAAGAUAUUGUUUAAUAAUAGCUGAAAGGGAAUGGAGAAAUUAACAACAGGAUUCAACUUCGCAAAUGCAGCAUUCCUUUUCUUUUAUAAAGAAGAUUCCCUUUAAUAUAAUAAUGAGAGACAUCUAAUAUUUCUCAAUGUCUGAUCAGUAUUAGAGACAUCUAAUCCUGCAGUUUCAGAGCUUAAUUUACUGCAUACAAUGGUUGUGCAAGUAAAACUAGUUCAUCUGGUCAGCAUCAUCAUCAACAUCAUCUCCUUGCUAUUCUUAUUGAAGGAAACAGCCACAUCCAUGGCCAAGCCUGGUUGCCCGAAGACAUGUGGGAACAUUGCCAUUGUUUAUCCAUUUGGUAUUGGAAAAGGCUGCUACCUUGACAAACGUUUUGAGAUCACAUGCAACAACUCCUUCAAUCCUAUUCUCCACCUCAACCAGAUGCGUGAUGCUGAAGUUUUGGAUAUGUCUCUGGAACAUUUGAGAAUCAGAGUUCAGACCAGGCCUUUUUGUUAUACCAAUUACACAUCCGAAGGGGAACGUUAUGCGCAGUUCACAUUUGCACCCAUGGAGCCUUUCAGCUUUUCCCAUACUGAAAACAAGUUCAUAGGCAUUGGGUGUGACAUAUUUGCUUACAUUGGUAAUUCCAAUAGUACAAAUUCCACCAUAAAAAAUUACAUCAAUGGGUGUGUCUCUGUCUGCAAUGGCUAUGUGUAGUACAAGGGUGCAGUACAAAGGUGUAGUACAAGUGCAGUACAAAGGUGUAGUACAAGUGUAUAGUACAAGUACUAUACAAGUAACCUAACUGGGCCUAGAGCCCACAAUACAAUAUACUUUAACAGCCCCCCUCAACUUCAAGGUGGAUGUGAGACCAACUUGAGGUUGUCAACUAAAUCACGAGUGCAUCUCUUAGGAAGAGACUUGGUGAAGAUAUCUGUAAGUUAAUCUUUGGAGGAGAUGGAGAAAAGCUUAAGAGCACCAUGGAGAAGAUGAUAACGGAUAAAAUGACAAUCAAUCUCGAUGUGUUUAGUCCGUUCAUGAAAGACAUCAUUGUGAGCAAUAUGAAUAGCACUCUGGUUGUCACAAUAAAGAGGAGUAGCAGAGGAGGUGGAUACACCCAAAUCCUUAAGAAGCCAUCUUAGCCAAAGGAGCUCAGAUGUGGUAUCAGCAAGGGCACGAUAUUCUGCUUCAGUACUGGAGCGGGCCACAAAGGUUUGUUUCUUACUUCGCCAAGAAAUCAAAGAAGAACCAAGGAGGAAGCAAUAACCUGUAGUGGACCUGCGAUCAGUAGGAUCUCCUGCCCAAUCAGCAUCUGAGAAUGCACGGAGUACAAGAGGAGAUUGAGCUGAGUAGAAAAGGCCAUGAAAAAGGGUACCCUUCGGGUAUCGAAGAAUGCGCAGAACAGCAGCAUAGUGAGUUGAUCGUGGAGCAGACAAAUACUGGCUCACCUGAUGAACAGCAUAGGAGAUGUCUGGGCGAGUAACUGUGAGGUAAACUAAGCUGCCAACCAAUCGUCUGUAAAGAGAAGGAUUAGACAAUGGUUUCCCCCCCAAGGGUGUCAGAUGCGCAUUAAGUUCAACUGGAGUGUCAACUGUUUUGCUGUCAGUGAGCCCAGCUUGAGACAACAGGUCAGAAGCAUACUUGGCUUGAGUAAUAUAAAGACCAUCUGUGGAAUGAGUAAUUUCAAGACCCAAGAAAUAGCUGAGAUGUCCAAGAUCUUUCAUCUCAAACUGCUGACUGAGAAAAUCCUUGAGUUCUUGAAUGCCACUAAGGUCAUCACCAGUUAUGAUCAUAUCAUCCACAUAGAGAAGAACCAAAAUAGUGCCGUUAUCAGUACGACGAAGAAAUAAGGCAGAAUCAUAUGGACUGGCGGUGUAACCCAAGCGAAAAAUAGUGGAGCUGAACUUGGCAAACCAAGCACGUGGGGCUUGUUUGAGACCAUAAAGUGCACGUCGAAGAUGACAAACCUUGUUUGAUUCAAUAGAGAGACCAGGAGGAGGUUGCAUAUAGACUUCUUUACUCAGAUCCCCAUUAAGGAAUGCAUUUUUAACAUCCAUCUGAAAAAGAUCCCAUUUACGAGCAGCAGCAACAGCUAAGAGAGCACGAACAGAUGAGAUACGAGCAAUUGGAGCAAACGUCUCUUCAUAAUCAAUCCCAUACUCUUGUGUAAAACCUUUGGCAACAAGACGAGCCUUAUAGCGCUCAACGGAUCCAUCAGAGCGAGUCUUGAUCUUAUAGAUCCACUUACAACCAACCACAGACUGUCCAGGAGGGAGAGUAACCAGGUCCCAAGUAUGGUUUUUGGUUAAUGCAUCAAGUUCCUCUUUCAUUGCAAUCUGCCAUAAAGGGUCAGUAGAGGCCUCACGAUAGGUUUGAGGCUCGUGAAGUGUAGCAAGGGCAGUGUAACAAUGAUAGUCAAGGAGGUGUGGAGGAAUGGAUCUUACCCGGGUUGAGUGGCGAGGUGGAAUGUCUUGUGGAGGAUCUUCAGGCAGAGCAGGAGCAGGGGACCCAGGCUCAAAGUGGGGUAGCUCGUGAAUAAUCUGUUCAUCUGCAACCUGUCUAGGAGAAGCAUCAAAGAUAUCUGGAGAGAAGUCUAAAUGAAGAUCAAAAGUAUUUGCAGAAGGAACAAGAGACUCAUCGGGAAAGAUUUCUAAAACCGAGGAGUUAGUCAAGGAAGAACGAAAGUGAGAGAGUUCAACAAACAAUCGAUGUUCCCAAAAGACAACAUUACGAGAAACGCGAAGACGAUGAGAAACAGGAUCAUAACACCUAUACCCCUUUUGAGUUUCGCCAUAACCAAGAAAACAACAGAGUCUAGAUCGAGGCUCAAGUUUGUUGUGCUCAUGAGGCUGAACAAGAACAAAACAAGCGGAUCCAAAGGAGCGAAGGUGAUGAUAGUUAGGGGGUGACCCAAAGAGACGCUCAUACGAAGUCUGAUUAUGGAUGACAGUACUUGGAAUGCGGUUAAUUGCAUGAACAACAUGAAGACUGGCUUCACCCCAAAAUGGGGCAGGAAUUUUGGCAGAAAGAAGUAAAGCACGAACAGUGUCAAGAAUAUGACGAAGUUUUCUUUCGGCUCGACCAUUUUGCUGAGAGGUACCUGGACAAGUUAGAUGAUGGAUAGUGCCAUAGGAAUGUAACAAAGCUUGAAAUGCAUGUUGAGUAUAUUCAAGAGCAUUAUCAGAUCGAAAGGUUUUGAUACGUUUGGAGAAUUGAGUUUCAACCAUUUUUGCAAAGUUGCUAUAUAUUGAUAAAAUUUCAGAACGAGAUUUCAUAGGAAAAAUCCAACUAUAACGAGAGUAAUCAUCAAUAAAAACAACAAAAUAUCGAGAUCCACCAAUACUAGCAACAGGAGAAGGUCCCCAAACAUCAGAAUGAAUUAACUCAAAAAUACUUUUAGAAAUGGAGUCACUGUUAUUGAAAGACAAAGCUGGUUGUUUUCCUAACUGACAUGAAGUGCAAUCAAAAUUGUCUUUAGACACAGAACCCAACAGACCUCUAGACACUAACUGUUGUACCCGAGAAGAUGGUGCAUGACCAAGACGAGAAUGCCAAGCGCAAGAGAAGGUAAGGAAGAAACUGCAAUUGUUGCAGCAGCAACAGAAACAGGAGCAACAGGUGGAAGAUGAAGAUUGUUCACGGGAAACAUACGCCCAACUCUAGGACCUGUCCCAAGCUCCUGCCCUGUCCUCGAAUCCUGUACAAUACACCUAGAAUAGUAAAAAAUAAGGCGAUAACCUAGUUCAGCUAAUUGUCCCACAGAGCACAAAUUAUAAGAUAGGUCAGGUACAUGGAAGACUCCAAGAACAGAAAGGGUAGAGGUUGAAACAAAACCUAGACUAUUUUCAUGCAUGGUGGAACCAUCGGCUAUAUGAAUAUUUAGAGGAUGUGGUGCAGGGUCAAGGUUGGUGAACAGGGAUGAGUGAGGUGUCAUGUGAUUGCAGCAGGCAGAAUCAAAGAGCCAAGUUUGAGACUUACCAGGUAGAACAGAUAAGGCAGUGGAAAGAGAUAUUACCAACCAUACGAACAGCCUGAGCUAUGAUCUCCUGUAGUUCGGUGGAAGAGAGGUUGAUAGUAGAUCCAGAAGACUGGGACGUGGAAACCGUUGGCGGAGUAGGUGCAGUAUUAGCAACAGCAGCAGUAGAUUUGUUACGACGGUAACAAGUCUCAAUGGUGUGGCCAGGACGCUUGCAAUAGUUGCAGAACUUCUUGUUGGUUUGCUUGCGACGAUUGCUAGAGCCAGAAAAAUCACCUAAUUGCUGAGGUUGCUCUAUGAGUGGAGUAGAUGGAGUAAUAGCCAAAAUAUUAAGCUUAUUCUGGGCUUGAAGGGUUGCAAGACGAGCUUCUUCUCUAACCAACUCAUUCACAGCAGUAUCAAGAGAGGGAGCAGGACUGCGAUUUAGCAGCUGACCACGAAUGGGCUCAAAGUCCUUGUGAAGUGACAGCAAGAAUUCAUAGAGGCGAAAUUCAUUUCUAAUGGAAGCAUAUUGCUGAGCAUCUUUUGAGCAUCCCCAAGUUGGAUCAGAAAGGUCAAUUUGGUCCCAAAUGAAGCGAAGCUGAUCAUAAUAGUCAUUGAUGGAUUGCCCCGGUUCUUGCCUGAGUUGAUGCAAUUCAACCACUAACUGAUAUUUCAUGGAUCCAUGAGUAGUGGAGUACCUUUUGGUCAACAUAUCCCAUGCAGAUUUUGCAUCGUCAAAGCUGCCCAAUAGGUUGGAAAUAGAGGGAAUGGAAGUGUUCCGGAUCCAUGUGAGGAUCAUGUGGUUAUGACUAUCCCAAUCAAUCAUGCGACUAAGAAAGACAACAUCUUCUUCACUUGCUCCUUUGACAGGAAUAGUCAUUGCACCAGUACAAUAAUGCCAGAGCAUGCGGCUCUUAAGAAAACUGCGCAUAGCUUGAGACCAGGAUAAGUAAUUUUUAGUACCCUCCAAUACAGUAUGGAUGGGGCGAGGAAGAAAAACAUCCUUCUUAUCCAUUUAGGGACACAAUAUGCAAAAACCGACUGCAGAAAUGAAAUCUAUACGAAAAACUGGGUAAGGAGAACCUGGCCGGGGGAAAAGUCAAUUGGACGGUCAACGGUCAAAGUCAACGGUCAACGUUCGGUCAACAGCUGGUCAACGGUCAAAGUUUUGGUCAACGGUCAAUGCUGGUCAACGGUCAACGACUGGAGAUGACGUCAGCAGAUCAGUGGAUGCUGACGCAGCUAGGACUGACGUGGCAGCGCGUGGAGGCUUGAUGAGCUAGGGUUGACGUGGCAGCGCGUGGAGGCCUGACGAGCUAGGGCUGACGUGGCAGCGCGUGGAGGGCGCGUGAGGACGCGUGGAGGCGCGUGGAGGCGCCGCAGAAUCUUUGAGCGGAGCGUGCGGUCUCCGAUGGCGGCGAGAUAUCCACGAAUGUGUAGAUCGGCGCUGGACAAUCUCAGUGGUACCUUCAAAAGUGAAAUCGGAGCAAUAUUCGCAGUAGUGAUGCAAAAGGCAGUGGUCUGUGAGUGUGAGACUUCUUAAUGACUGCGGUUGCAGGUCCGGAACCCAGGGAUGACGACUGGAUGACGUCGGAGGUUCAACGGCAAAAGGCUACAGCGGCAGUUGUGAUGGCGGAAGCGCUUAGUGAAAAAAAAAAAAAGGAAGUCACACUAAUGAAGACAAGACUGCUAAGAAAAAGGUCAGAGCAGUGGCUCUGAUACCAUGUUAGAAAUAUAGAAUAAUUGUAUUCUAUUCUGUAAUUAAAAGAGUAUACAUCAGUGCCUUUAUAUAGGAGGCAUAACUAUACAAGUAACCUAACUGGGCCUAGAGCCCACAAUACAAUAUACUUUAACAGGUUGCUGCCAGACUACUUUCCCCAGCGAUCUUUCUAAUAUUGUUUUACGGGUUGGUAACAUGAGCGUCUGGCAUGAGGCCAGCAACUGGACCUCGAAUCAUUGUAGCAUUCUCCUUAUUGCAGAGAAGAACUUCUCUGAAUUCCACCAAUUUGAAAUCUCGUUUUCCAAUCAAAAGAAGUACUUUUAUCCUGCAGUUAUUAAUUGGGAAAUUGGGAAUAAGUCUUGCCUUGAAGCAGAAAAAGGAGGAGAUUAUACAUGUGGCAGCAACAGUGGUUGUGUUAAUUCCGAGAAAGGCAGUGGAUAUAGGUGUCGUUGCAAUCCAGGCUACAGCGGGAAUCCCUACCUUCCAGAUGGCUGCAUAGGUAUAUUUCUUUCUCUUGGCUUGGCACUUGGAUGUAUAGUAUCACUACCACGUUGGUGAGAUCUCUUAUUGUAGGGGAUCUCUCUCUUGUCUAGGUUACUUCACUCACACUGCCACUAGUAUUUCAAAGUAGAAAUGAUAUCAUCUUGUAUAUUGAAAGCACCUGUUCAGAAAGAAGAAUAAGAUCCUUCUUUAGGAAUAUGAAUUUAUGGUUUUUGAAACGAACGACUAGAAUUUUUGCCUUUGACCACAAUUGGCAUCAACACUGCAACUAAUAGAUUCUGUUAUAAGACAACAAAACAUG
rnacentral:lncRNA from 1 species